rnacentral:lncRNA from 1 species
UUGAUUGAGAUCAAUUUGGAUUACUUUUAGAGAUUCUAGAGGAAUUUAGAAGAAUAUAUAAAGGAAAAAACUUAGGGAAGAUGAAAAGUGCUAGUUAGAGCAGCCUUCUAUUGCACCAGAAGAAGUGGGCGCACCCUUCUACUAUGUCAAAAGGACUUGACGCAUCUGUAUAAGUACGCUAGGAAGGAAAAUAAAGCAACAAGCCGGCCUUUGACUUGAGAAUUGGAGAACCCUCUCCCAGACUUAAGUGGCACACCUUUUAAGUGCGCCAAGGAAAAGAAAGAGUUGUGGCUCAACCCCAUCAAGGAUUGAUAGGCAUACUCCGUCCACUAAAGAUUAAAUGUGUUAGCACAUCUCUUAUCUCUCUCCAUGAACAAAUGGUGCAUUUAAUUAUACAUACACUGUAAGCAUUGGGCUGCCUAUCCGAUGGUGCAAUUCAAAAGCUGUGGCAUGUUUGGUCAACGUAUGAGAAGCAUCCUCUUGCAUCCAACAAUCUUGCAUGGGUGGGGCACACCCAACCUAAGUGUUCUCGAAGUUUGGAUGGUGUUGGAGCUGUUCUUUCCAAACUUCCAGCUUCUUCUUGUCUCACGUUCACCUGCAAUGCAAGGUUUACCCGGUGAAGCCCCGGGCAGACCCCUCCGAUGGUUAAGUCUGUUGGAGUGUGAGAAGCCAACUUCUUUUUAAUUUUUCUUCUUAGCUGUGUUCUUAUACAUCUCUUCACUUACCGCCGGGACCGGAGAUAAUGGGGGCAUUUUCACCACAUCACUGCCCACUUCGCCACCUUCUCAUGGCAGCAAGCUUUUUGGGCUAACCGCUCCCACCAUUUUUGGCGGCUAGCCCCUUCAACACCUUUCACAUUACUUACCAUAUUUCUUUCUGGGCCAGAGACUCUGUCUAGUCCUCCAAAUUCACCUCUUAAUUUUAAAUGCUUGGGCCCAGGCCCAUUGGUCCAAAUUCGGCUCUUAAUUUUUAUCCCUUGGAGGAGUGUUUUUAGUUUUUCUUCUUGAAAUACUUUGCAGGUACAAAACUGUAUGAGCUUUUUGUUCAUGGAGUUCUAUGGGAUUCUUCGAAAAUGAAUGAAAUUCAAUUUUAAAAGAAGUCUUUUGUUUCUUUGCUUGAGUAAUUUUUUACCUUAAGUUUAAUUUCCCUCGCAUGUUCUAUCCAUGAAGCACUAAUUCACUUUACUGUUGUGGGUUGAAAGGGGUUGUAUCCCUUGCAACUCAAUUUAGUCCUCAAUGGUUUCAAAGGGUAGCGGAUAGGGAGGUGAAGUUCAUGAUUGCAGCAAAUGCAUGCAUGUUGUAGCAUUCUGAGAGCCCUAAGCUAAGCAACUCCAUGAGCAUGUUUGUACCUUAUAUAUUUAGCUUUCACUUCCCUUUGAGGUUGAAAAUACUAGGUGUUACACGGAAAAACGAAAAUAGGCAAUAAGAAAAUAUGAAUAAUUUAUGUGAAAAAUCCUAAACAAAAAAACUAAGGAUAAAGAAAAUCCACUAAAUUAAAAAUUGGUACAAAAACAGAAAGAAUCCAACGACUAUUGUAUAAUCCUAAAUCCUAUACACUAUCGCAUAUAUAUAUGAGAAAAAAUAAAUAAAGCAGGUCCAUAUCGUAGGGGCAAUCCUCUGCACCCACAACAAAAUCAAUAAUGGGUUAAAGUAUAAUUUUUCUUCACCAUAUAUAUCAUACCACAAAUUUUUCAAGUCAAACCAAAAAACAAUUCAUAUCAUCAAGCUCUAACAUUAAAAAAAGAUGAAAACAAAUCUUUGUAUUAUGGUUAUGGGAGUAACUUUAAACCUUAAAAUUCUCAUUCAAGCUUUUCCAAAUGAAAUAUAUUAAUAUUAAGUUUUAUUUAAAUAAUCUAUUUUUCCGCAGAUAUAACGAUGAGUUGAAAUUUAGACUUAUUUAAUUUGUUUAUGUCAAACAUUCAAAUCUAAAAUACAUAUAACAAAAGAUCAUGGGAAUUUAUAAUAUAAACAAUUUUUAUGCAAAGGGCCAAUUGUAAAUAAUAGAAUACUAUUUUCAAAAGAGAUCCAAAUCAAGUCGUUGUUUUUAAUAAAUAAAUAAAUAAAAUUUUUGUUUCAUUUGGAAGAUGGUGUUAAAGAGCGACUGAAUCAAAUAACUUGCUCAACCGGCAAAGCUGAGCUGGUCAACUUGACUCGCUUAUAUAUAUACGUAAUUGGGGAAAAAAUGUCAGAUGAGGGGGCGGAUUAGGUCACUUGGGGGGUGCCGGGUGUAGAUGGAAGAAAGAAGUACGUAUAUAAUAAUAAUAAUUGGAGGGUUGACGUUGUCUUGAGAGCAACCGAUGAUGAUAACCCAUGCAGUAUUUUUGUCAUGGGAGAAUUAGGGUGGGGGUGGCCGUAAAAAAUAAUGACUAUGAAGCUCACUAUUUUAAAGGAAAGUUUUACUUUUAAAUAUAUUCUUUAUAUUAUUUAUAAAUAAAUUAAGAUUGUCAAUGAUGUGGGUCCAUAUAUGAUGAUAAGUACAAGUUGAUAAAUUAUGUGGGGCUCAUAUAUGAUAAUAAGUACAGGUUGAUAAACAAUCAACGGUACAUUUCUCAGCUUGAAAAAAUUGUUGUCACUUUUGAACAAUUGACGGUUUAAAAAUUUACUAUUUUUUUUUCAAAAAAAAUUAAGAUUUUUUAAAGAACCUUGCAAAAAAAAUAAUUUUUAAUAUCUCAUAAAUAAAAAUCAUAUCCUAAAGUUAUUAUGUCGUUUUAUAUAUAAAACAUACAAUUAAAAACUUUGUUAUCAUAAUAUAAUGAAUAAUUAUUUUUUAAGAGCACUCAUCAAUUGAAUAACAUAUAAAUAUUCAAUUGACUAAUACACACCUAUUAAAUGAAAUAACUCACAAUUAUUCAUGGGGUAAUAUAGCACGUGAAAAAAUUAAAUAAAAAUAAAUUAAAUUAUGUUGUAAUAUAUUGUAAUGAUAGUGUAUUUAUAUUGUAAGUAUAAUGCAUUUAUAUCGUACCUAUAUUUAAUUAAAAAAGUAAUAAUUCUAAAAAUGUUUAUUCAUACCCUAUUGGUAUUAACACAUCGUAUUAAUAUAUUAACAACAUUUAUUUAGUGUCUUGAAAUUAUUUAAUAAUUUUUUUAUAUAUAUAAACUACGUGAAUUCAAAUUAGUAUUUCAUUUGAUUUCAAAAAUUAUUUAUGAUAUAGGUAUGUUGUGAAAUAUGGUAUAAUCAUAUAAAAUUACAAUUUUAAUAAAAAAUUUCAUAAAUUUUUUAAUUAGGUUUUAUUGUAAUGUAAGUGUAUUUAUAUUGUAAUUAUAACAUAUUUUUGUUGUACUUGUAUUUUAUAAUAAAAGUAAUAAUCUUGAGGAUCAUCUUUUAUACCUUAUUAAUAUUCAACAUAUCAAAUAUAUUAACAUUAUUCACUCGAUGCAUUGAGAAAAACAAAUUUAUAUGAAAUUUAUAAAAAAAAAACACUAUGCAAAGGAAAAAAAAUCAUAUAAAUUUUUUAAAAUUAUUUUAUUAUAAAAAUAAAAAAUGAUUAAACAUUCUCUACCAUUUUCUUAUUCUUUUUAGAGAAUUUGAAUGAAAAAUUAAACAUUUUAUCUUCCUUAAAUUUAAUACAAAAAUAUAAUUUAUCAAUUUAAAAUUAUAAUAUAUAUAUAUAUAUAUAUAUAUAUAUAUAUAUAUAUAUAUAUAUAUAUAUAUAUAUAUAUAUAUAUAUAUAUAUAUGAAAAAAUCAUCAUUUUUAUUAUAUAAUUAUAAAACUUAUUUUAAAAAUUAGAAUAAACAUAAAAAAAAAGGUAAAAAAACAAUAAAUGAUAUUUUGAAAAUAAUUUUUAAAAGUAUUUUUGUUUUAAAUAGUAAAUUUAAAUAACAAAUUAUAUAUAAUUGUAAGAGUUAAACCCAAAAUUUUGAUUUAAAAUUUAAAUAUUAUUAAUUACAAUAAAUAUAGGACCCAUAUACCAUAAAUGUAUUGACAAAUCAAGUGAAGUGCUUUAAAUGCUUUGAAUUUUAAAAGUUUUAGCUAAAGGACAAUUUUGGUAUAUUAAGCCUAUUAAAAUCCUUCUCAAGAAUUAUUAAAAUAUAUCACCCUUUCUAAUAAUUGUUCUGCCUAACCUAUUUUUAGGUAAUUCUCCCUUUUUUUCAUUCUCAUCCAUCUUCACGGGACUUCGUCUACCAAAUAUGACAAAUAUUAUAUUGUUAUAUUGAAUAUAUGUACUAAAAAAUAGAAAUGGGAUGAUGCACAUGGCCUGACGUGUACGUUAUUAAUUUGUUUUUGUCUACGUUUGUUUGUUUGUUUUCGUUUUUCUGUUUAUAUACGUAAAGUCAUUUUUUUCCUCUUCAUGGAAUUCUUUUUGAUGAAAAAAUUAGAGGAAAAAACACAGAUUUAACGAUAAAUUAUCCAUGUUCAUGACAAUAAGAAAAAAGAGUUUCACUAUAUAUAAAAUUAGGAUUACAUUAAAAGGUAUUUAUAUUAAUUAAAAAUAUGAUAUUAAUCAUAAUAUUUAUAAUAGACAUAUCAUAUCAAAUAAAUUAUCCAAUUUUUUAUUAUAUUAAUAGAUAAAUUGAAGUUUUUAUGGUAAAUUUAGAUUAUUUGAUAUCACAAAUAUUAUAACGUUUAAAAAUUAAUUUUAAUAACUAAGUUGUGUUUGGUUUAAAAACCAAUUUUUAGUUUUCAUUUUCCAUUUUCAUUUAUGUUUUUUCUUUUCUUAAAAAUAUCUUUGAUUAAGAAAAGUAAAAGUAGUAUUUUAAAAAAGUAAACUUAUAAAAUCUUGUUUGAUUUUAAGCUUUCGUGAAUGUAAAAACUUGUGAAAAAGUAAGCAUUGUUGUUAGUACUCUUAAAUAUUAAUUAAAUAUGACUAAGUGGAUGAUGUCUAUAUCACUUCUCCUGCCAUCGUCACCCAGUGCUCCAGAAAGAAACUGGAAUCUGGACGCGUGAUUAACAACUUCGCUGAUCGCCUACCAUUCCCAUGGCCUCAUGCCUUAUAUAUUUCCACAAACCUAGCUCAAUUUUCAUAUCCACCUUCACUGUCCUAUACUCACAAGCCAUGGCCAUAGAUACAAGCCUCUUGCCUGAGCUUGCUGCAGCAACUCUUCUCUUCUUCAUCACCCGCUUCUUCAUUCGUUCUCUCUUUCCCAAACCUUCCCGGAAGCUCCCUCCUGGCCCCAGAGGGUGGCCGCUCCUCGGCGCUCUUCCUCUUCUAGGUAACAUGCCUCAUGUUGCACUAGCAAAGAUGGCCAAAAGAUACGGACCUGUCAUGUUCUUGAAAAUGGGCACUAACAGCAUGGUGGUGGCCUCAACUCCGGAGGCAGCUCGGGCUUUCCUUAAAACCCUAGACAUUAAUUUCUCGAACCGCCCGCCUAAUGCCGGUGCAACACACUUGGCCUAUGAUGCCCAAGACAUGGUUUUUGCGGAUUAUGGGGCAAGGUGGAAGCUCCUGAGAAAGCUAAGCAACUUACACAUGCUUGGUGGGAAGGCUCUUGAGGACUGGUCUCAGGUUCGAACUGUUGAGCUAGGUCACAUGCUUCGAGCCAUGCUUGAGUUGAGCCAGCGAGAGGAGCCGGUGGUGGUGCCGGAGAUGUUAUCUUUUUCCGUGGCCAACAUGAUAGGGCAAGUGAUACUAAGCCGCCGGGUGUUUGAAACAAAAGGGUCGGAGUCAAAUGAGUUCAAGGACAUGGUGGUGGAGCUCAUGACCACUGCUGGGUACUUCAAUAUUGGCGAUUUUAUUCCGUCCAUCGCAUGGCUGGACAUCCAAGGGAUCGAGCGCGGGAUGAAGCAUUUACAUAAGAAGUUCGACAAGUUAUUGACAAGGAUGAUAGAGGAGCACACGGCAUCAGCCCAUGAGCGCAAGGGAAACCCAGAUUUUCUGGACGUAGUCAUGGGCCAUCAAGGAAAUUCUACAGGGGAGAAGCUCACCCUUACCAACAUUAAGGCGCUCCUCCUGGUAUGCAUAGUUAAAGCUCGUCUUUAAUUUUGUUUUUCGAUAUUUCCUUUCCGGAAACAGCACUUUUAUUGUUUUCCGGAAACAGCCAUUUUAGGGGCACAUCACUGUUCUUUAUUUGGAUUUUUUUUUUGUCUUUUUCCACUUGCAUGGUUGUUUUCAUAUGCUCAGCUGCAUGGCACAGGAAAAUUGGGAAAAAUGAUUGGUUCUCUGAUCAGACCUUCUGCACCAAAACACACUUCUCUCUAUUUUAUAAAAUCAAGAACAUUUAUGGUUUACAUGAUUUUUCGAACUUGAACUUUUGCUAGGGCUAAUGCAUGGAUCUCAAUUUUCAAUUGCGUUUGAUUACAUAAAUUUCAAGUAUGUCACCAUAUUUUUGUUUCCUUGGCUAGAAUUUAUUUACUGCAGGAACAGACACUUCAUCAAGCGUAAUCGAGUGGUCUCUGGCUGAGAUGUUGAAAAACCCGAGCAUCCUCAAGCGUGCUCACGAAGAAAUGGAUCAAGUGAUUGGAAGGAGCCGGCGGCUCGUGGAGUCUGACUUACAAAAACUUCCAUACCUACAAGCCAUAUGCAAGGAAAGCUUCCGGAAGCACCCAUCCACCCCAUUGAACCUUCCUCGUGUCUCAAACGAGGCAUGUGAAGUGAACGGCUACUACAUCCCAAAGAACACUAGACUUAGCGUGAACAUAUGGGCAAUCGGGCGAGACCCUGAUGUCUGGGAAAGCCCGGAAGAAUUCAGUCCAGAAAGGUUUCUAAGUGGAAGAAAUGCAAAAAUUGAUCCUCGUGGAAAUGAUUUUGAGUUGAUCCCGUUUGGGGCUGGACGAAGGAUUUGUGCUGGCACUAGAAUGGGAAUAGUGCUAGUUGAGUACAUUUUGGGGACGUUGGUACACUCAUUUGACUGGAAAAUGCCGGAUGGAGUUGAGAUCAACAUGGACGAAGCUUUCGGGCUUGCUUUGCAGAAGGCAGUUUCUCUUUCGGCUAUGGUGACACCUAGGCUUCACCAGAGUGCGUAUGCAGUCUGAGCUCAAGCUGUUCAGAUCAAAACCCAGGGCUAGUAACUCUUCAAAAAUUUUGCAUUGAAAAAAAUAGUAGUUUUAAAAUCUGUCUAAAAAAAUUAAGGAUGUGGAAAGUUCUCACGAAUUUCAGUAACUUGGGAAGGGAUUUUCUAGACCAUACCCAUUCCUAUCCACCUCGUCUUGUGACCUUCCGUUUUCUUCUGGUUUUUUAAUUUUCAAAAAUAAUUUUAAAAAACAAUAUUAAAAAAUAAUUUUUAGAAAUAAAAUUCUAUUUUAUAAUUCAAAUUUUAAAAACAAUUUUCAUUUUUUAUAAAGUUAAUUUGUAGUCUAGCAUAACAUUCUUGUUCUUAGAAUAUUGUAAAAAAAAAACCAAUAAAAUAUCUUUAAAUUCUUAUAAAAAAUAUAUUUUAAAUUUUUCUGGAAAAUCUUUCCAGGAUUUUAAUAAUAUUUUUAUAUUUCACUAUUAUUUUAUUUAUCUUAGAAAUACUCAGCUCUAUUCGUUUCUAUUAUACUAAAAUUUACUAUAAUACUUGUCAAAAUAUUUGAAUAUGAUGAUCAUGUCGAAAACAUGAGUCGAUACAUUUCCAAAGUGGAGGACAAAGUGUAUGAGAUGGCAAAUUGUGAUUGGGUGGCAGGUAGUGACGUGGGGUUAAUUUUUAAGUUAAUUAUGCUUAAAGUCUUUACUAAAUAAGAAGAGUAAAUUUUGGUAUUUAAUUAAAUUUAAAAAAUAUAUAAUAAUAUAUUAUAUUGUAUAUAUGUUAAAAAACCAUUAGAGAUGACAACUAGGUAGGGUUGAGAUGAGAUGGGUCACUCCCAUCCUGUCCCCAUCCUGUUUACACAAUUUAAUUUUCAUGUCUUAAUAAAAAAAAUUAAACGGAAGGGGUGUGAGAAUUUUCCAUAUCCACUUGGUCCCAUCCUUUUUAAUUUCUUUUAAAAUUUUAAUUUAAAAAAAUAUUUAAUUACAUUAAAAAUAAAUAUAUUUUAUAAAUAAAGAAAAUAUUAUAAUAUUUUAUAACUUCUUUUAUUAAAAAUAAAUUUUAAAUCAAAGAAAGGGGUAUUUUUAUCCAAUGAGGGUCAUUUUUUUUUUGUCGAGGCACUAUAAGAAAAAGGGCCAACAGUAACACUUCUGCGUUAUUUUCCAACUUGUCAUAAUAUUUGGAUGUGUUCCAUUAUUGAAGCCGAAUGUCUAGGUAAGCAUCUUCUUCACCACCUUGAAGAGCCAGACAUAUCAUCCAAAUGCCCCCAGAAACAAAUGGACUCAACCUUUUAUAUAUUUAUACACUACUCUUAUCCAACAUACUUCCAAAUUGAAUAGCUGGUGAAAUCAAGUAAACCCAACAAUGUCCAUCCAUUCCCAUGUCUCCACACUAUUUCUCCUCAUAGUCUUAAUAUUAUCCGGAUCCAUUGCCAUUAAAGAACAACUGUCUAUGACUUCCAAGGUCAGCUUGGUCAGGUAAGUUAUGAUCCAAAGCUCAAUUUUUCUAACAAUAGUUAGCUUAUAUUUUGGUUCUCAUCCCCUCAAUAAAGACAUGAACAGAUAUACCCAAUUAUUUUCAAUCAAAUUCUUAGAAGGGGAAAAUCUUUUCUCUAGGUGAAGAGCUUGUGUCUUGGAAAUUUCUAUUACUUAUCCUAAGAAGUUUGUGUGUGGUUGUCAGGAAAAGAGAAGUUACUGUUUCAUCUCUAUAGCAUAUUAAAAUGUAGAAAAUUGAAUUCAUUAAUUUUCAAUUUUUUCUCAUUCUACUCAGGGUAAGUGUCCUUGGGAACUUGAAAAUGCAGAAAAGAUUAAAAAAUAAAAAAUAACAGAAUUAGAAUAUGAACAUGUACGUGAAUAUGCACUAUGAUACUACACGCCAAAAAAGACAAAAAGCUUAGACAUGUUUGCUAAAGGACAAGGUGACUAGAGAGUGAAAAAUGUGUAGAGCAUCUAGUCAGGGUCAUCAUUACAAAAAUAAGAAAGGGAAACUUGUGUUUUGAUGGGGCCAUUUGGGAAAUAUAUGGUUUUCGGAAUCCAAUUUUAUGAAAUCUAAAAACCAUCUUUUAAUAUGGAAAGUUAUAUAUUUUUCAUGCACUCUGAGCCGGGUGCAUAUUUUGUGCCGAGAUUGCCCAUUCGGGUAUCCAGGUCAACAACAUCCUAAGGCCAUGUUAGCACGGGCCAAAACAGAACCGCUGAAAAACUCCAAAAUCAAAAUUUGAUCUUCCCAAAAAAACACUCUAGCCGAUGGUUCUUUUUUCCCUUUCUCUCAUUCGAUACCCAUUUCUCUCAUAUUUCUUCACUUUGUCACUGAGGCAAAGCAAAGAACCGUGUAUAGUUUUAAAAAAUUUCUCUCAUUUUAGUUUAGAAGCCCUUAAUCCCAAACUCCAAUCUACACUUUUCUUUCUUCAGCCCCUUCUCCUCUCAAAGUCCUGACCAGUCGUAUCCGAUCGUCCUAAUUUCCUCAUCCCAAACUCCAAUCACCUGUACAUUUUGAUUGAAAUUCUGGUUUAGGCUAGAGAACCAGAAUGGAAAUGACAACUAUGAUAUAUUGGCUUCAUGAAGAAAAAAAUCUCCUCUUCGUGUCAUUAGGUGGAAUUUUGCCCUAACUCCCACAGAAAAUUUUAAGGUAAUUAAUUUUUAUUUAGGGUUGUUUUGAUUUUAUUUUUUUUCAAAUGUAGCACAAGAGCAAUUGUGGAGUGGUAGUUGUAGUUCGAAUUUUGUGUGCUUUGGUGAGGCCAUAGCUUGAGGCGCAUGUGGAUUUUGGACGGCAUGAUCGGAUGGUCAAUCUCUGUCUUUUUGUGGAUUUGAGGCUCAUGAAAUGUAAAAUGAAAGUGGUAAUUUAUUUUUGAUUGUCAAAAGAAUGUUGUGGAGAUAUGUAGAAAUUGGGUAGAAGACCUUUGUUUUUUUUUUACAUUUUUAGACUGAUGGUAAUUAACGAUGACAACAAUUAGGCAAGAUCAUCUUUUGGCAAAAAAAUUCAUAAUUAAAUCAUAUUUGUUGAGACUAAAAAUAAUAAUAACAAUAAUAAUUCAAAUGCAUAAAUUAUGUGCUAGUUAGUAUAAAUUGUUGGUAGUGCUUGUGAAUUUGUAAUGUUUGUUGGAUUGUGAGGGUACAUCUUUUGCAAAUCGUGUGUGGUUUGAUCAAUUGUUUUUCUUUAUUGGGAAUGGUUUCAUUGUUGUAGUCUUUCAGAUUUUCUUUGUAGAAAGACUGAAUUUUAGUGAUGAUAUGAAAUAAAACCAUUAUAAUCUUCUUUGAGCAAUAUUUAAAAUAUUUCAUUAUGAAAUUUUGUAAGCUUGGCUUUCAUUAAUUAUAUCAGAUUAAUCCAUCCAACCAUUAUUAUUUCUCCUUUUUGCGAUAGUAAAAACAUUUUAUCUACAAAGGAAGUGUUUGCAAAUUGAUUUGAUGUUGGAAACAUUUUAUCUUAAUGAACCUUAUGUACUACCCUAAUGCACCUUAGGUACUACCUUAAUGAACCUUAGGUACGACCUUAAUGUACCUCAGGUACUACCUUAAUGCACAUUCGAAAAAUUGUGCUCUUAGGUCACUAAAGACACAAUUCUUUCAUUGCAUUACAUAUUGGAGCAUGACUUUGUUAUGUUGUUAUUGGUAACUCAAUGGUGAGCUUAUGUAAUUAUACCAGGAUCAAGGUACUACCCUACUGCACUUUAGGUACUAUCUUAAUGAACCUGAGGUACUACCUUAAUGUACCUUAGGUACUACUUUAAUGUACCUUAGGUACUACCUUAAUGCACCUUCGAGAAAUGUUGCUCUUCUGUGACUGAAGACACAAUUAUUUCAUUGCAUUAUAGAUUGGAGCAUGGCAUUGUUAUGUUCUUAUUUGUUACUUAAUCGGUAGCUUAUGUAAUCAUAACAAAUUUAAGGUACUACCUUAAUGCACCUUAGGUACGAUCUUAAUGAACCUGAGGUACUAUCUUAAUGCACCUUCGAGAAAUGUUGCUCUUCUAUGGCUAAAGAGACAAUUAUUUCAUUGCAUUACAGAUUAGAGCAUGGCAUUGUUAUGUUCUUAUUGGUUACUCAAUCGAUAGCUUAUGUAAUCAUAACAAAUUUAAGGUACUACCUUAAUGCGCCUUAGGUACGACCUUAAUGAACCUGAGGUACUACCUUAAUGUACCUCAGGUACUACCUUAAUGCACCUUCAAGAAAUGUUGCUCUUUUGUGACUAAAGACACAAUUAUUUCAUUGCAGUACAGAUUGGAGCAUGGCAUUGUUAUGUUCUUAUUGGUUACUCAAUUGGUAGUUUAUGCAAUCAUAACAAAUUUAAGGUACUACCUUAAUGCAUCUUAGGUACGACCAUAAUGAACCUGAGGUACUACCUUAAUGUACCUCGGGUACUACCUUAAUGCACCUUCGAGAAAUGUUGCUUUUCUGUGAUUGAAGACACAAUUAUUUCAUUGUAGUACAGAUUGGAGCAUGGCAUUGUUAUUUUCUUAUUGUUACUCAAUCGACAGCUUAUAUAAUCAUAAAAAAUUUAAGGUACUACCUUAAUGCACCUUAGGUACGACUUUAAUGAACAUGAGGUACUACCUUAAUGCACAUUCUAGAAAUGUUACUUUUCUGUGAUUGAAGACACAAUUAUUUCAUUGCAUUACAGAUUAGAGCAUGACAUUGUUAUGUUCUUAACCUCUUGGAUGAAUAUUUUCAGAUUUAUGCACAAUCUUCUAAGCAUAAGUCAUUUGUUAUUGUAUGGUGUCUCAUAUUAAUUUUUCAAUUGUCACCUUGUAAUUUAAUUGUUAGUGUAUGGUUUAAAAUUUAUGAUCACAUAUUCAGAUUUUUAAAUCUACAACCGUGUGCUAUCAUCUCUAUUUUGAAACUGCAUUUGAUAGACUCAUUCUUGCUAUUGAAAUAUGCAAGUUCUGAUAUAUGCUUUGCAUUCUUCAUCUCUUAUCCGAAUUAAGGAUGACAUGUGAGUGGACCUUCACCAGAUGGUGCAUACACCUCGAUGGUGUCUUACUUUUAGACAUCUCCUUGGCAAUGUAGUGAAUUAGUGUUACUGUGAUGUGUUGCUUAUGAUAUUCUGGAUGGUGUCUUAUGAUAGUCCACCAUGCUUGUGUUUGGAAAAAUAUAAACUUAUGGUCUUAUCUACCUUAUCAAGUUGUACACGGUAUUUAUAGUUGGUUUAUUUCUAAAUUUAUACGGUGCAUCAUAUAAUGUCCCUGAUUUUUGUGUGCAGGACUUCGAAGUUGAUGAACUCUCACAAAUAUUUCUUUUUGUAUCAGAAUUUCUAGAUUGUAUGAAGUAAAGGAUGACCGACCUACAGAUGCAUUUUGGAACCCUCUUUACCCCUUGCAAUGGAGGAUGUUGUUCCUUUAAGAGAGCGAGUGGCAGCCCUUGAAGAUUAACAUCAGGAUUCUCAUAUCCCAAAUGAUGUUAAGUUAGGGCUUGGGUGAUUAGGAGAGAUUUCCAUCAUUAGUAAGAGCUCAACCAAAUAUGAAGAAGAUGAGGAAAUACCACAUAAAAAAGAAGAGGAAUCUAGUCACUAAGGCUGAAGCCUAAUAGAUCAGGAUUUUAAGGCCGUAGAAGAGGAAUAGGGAGAGGAAGCGGAAGGAGUGGCAUUUUGGCUCAAUCUAGAAUUUCAUUUGGGCUGAAUCCAGUCAUUUUGGUUGCACAUUCAUGUCCACCGUCUUUGGCAUCAGAAGAGGAGCUCAUGAUGAAGACAACAAAAUUAUGGAUGGUUCAGAUUUGGCCUAUUUUAGUAGUUAUGUUCAAUUAUUUUAAAAAGUCUCUAUUAUUAGUGUCUUGAGUUCACAACUAAUGGGACUUCGGAUUCUCUUUGUUGGAAGAUUACUUGAUGACCGAUUCUUAAAAUAAAUCCAAUUCAUAACAAGCAAUUCAAAUAUAUAACAUUGCUUAUUAUUAAUCUAAUUAUUAUUAUUAUUAUUAUUAUUAUUAUUAUUAUUAUUAUUAUUAGUAUUAUUACUACCUUUGUUGAUAAUCAAAUGUAGUUUUUUAAAAACCCCACAAAAUGAUGCGCAAAAUGAAUAGUUGACAAUUUGUGGGAAGUGCAUUCUCAUCAUAUCCAGGCAAGGUUGCCACAUUAAUAUGCCAUCACACAACCCUGUUGAACCCAAUAUCUGAUAUCAAACCUAAAGAUUUCUCUUUCUUUUCCUAAGAUGAUUUAAUAAGAUUCUUAUUAAAUAAAAGAAAAAAAACUCGUGAUAGGAAGAAAUUCAUCCACAUGCUUAAGGUCAUCUCAGCACCUUAUAAUCUCAUAAAAUCACCAGUGCCACUACUCUUGAAUGUUUCCUUACGAAUACCAACCAAUGUCUUCACCAUCACCCAUGAGACCUGAAUUUGUCACCAUGGUUUAGAGCAUUCAGUUUCAAAACCAUGGUCCUUUUAUUUUAACUACAGUUGUAGAGGCCACUAGCAUGGAAUAGAACAUUCAAAUAUGGAAAACAUAUUUAAGAAAUGCAUGAUCUUCAUUUAGAUUUCCUCACUAAAAUGAAACACAAACAUAGUCCAUGGAAUUUGUACCUCAACAUAAUUAUUAUACCAUAGUCAACAAACCAAAGAAACCUCCAAACUACCAAAAACCUUGAUAGAAAUUGCUAUAUAAAACCUUACACACCAACUAAUUAUGAAAGGAAUACCCAUAAACAAGGUACUACACUGACCAUAGAAGGAUAAACUGAAAGAUGAUCAAGUUAGAAACAGAAAUUUCUAGUCUUUGUGUCUCAUUUUCCUAUUAAAUUAUUAUUUUUUCCGAUAAAAAUGUUGUCACUUUGGAUCACAAUUGAAAAACUAAUAUGUUGUCGAAUCAGUCACUAAUGCACCACGGACGCGCACCUUUCAUCAACAUAACAAAUUAUCACCUAUUUACUUUUCUCCAUGUUCUUCCUUCCUUUCCAACACAUUAUUUCACAUUAAUCAACAACCCUAUUACAAUCAUGAAUAUCCUCACUUGAAGAGGAUUGAAUAAUUGAUUUAUCAGUGUACUAAUUUUGAUCAUAUGGAAAGAUGAGUUUGCUUGAUACAAUGUGAAGAAGGAAGAUAACAUAUGACCCAGUCUGAGAUUUCUCCCUCUCGUAGGCUAUAGCACCAACAUCACCAGGAAGUCUUUGUUUUCCUUAUGCAUUGUCCAUUGAUGUACAUAAACUCCUGACAAUCACUAUGACCAAAAUCCCAUUGUUACAAUGAUUAGUGACAAACAGAUAUAGAACACAAAUAAUGGUUUUACAAUGGGAAGAAAACCACAUUAGCACACAAGAUAACUAUUCAGUCAUUUUUGGACAAACUACAAUCAAGCAUUGCUUUAUAGAGUUAGUAGCAUCAAUUAGGAAAAUACUUAUCAUCAACCAUCAGUCCCAAUUGAUAGGAGUCUAUAAUUUUAUCUCUGACGUUGUUCCGUUCAUUGAGCAGUAACUUCACAACUAGCUGGAGUCGGUACAUGUGCAUCUUGUCCUACAGAAAUCAGAACAACUGAUUUCAUGUUAUUGGAUAAAAUAAAAAGAUAAAUAGUACAAAUUAGGGUGUAAACCAGCUGUAACCUCUACCAAUGAAGUACUUAAGGUUGCCUAAUUCCAAAAUUUCAUGAACUUAAGAGCGAUUAUACCAUAUUCGUACCUAUAACACAUCACACUUAGGCUUGUCAUGUAGAUGAUUGAAACAUGAGAAAUAUAAUUAAAUGCAAAUGACUUUAUUGGUUAGAAUAUAUGAAUCUUUUACCCAUUAAGUUGUUGGACAAGAUGUGGUUGCACAUACACAAAUUUUGAGACAUCCAGGUCCAUGUGAAUUCCAUGUGCAUGCAGUGCUUUAUGGAUAGCCACUGAUAAUCCCUUGGUUGAUGCACUAAUGUUGUUUCCCCGCUGCAAUGGCAAAAAUGAAAGGAUCUCAACUCGUCCAACUAAAAGUUAACCACGUGUUUGUACCAGUGAUUGUUUUCACAUACAAGGAUAAACAAUUACAUGUUCAUUAUAGAGUUAUUAGGUUUUACGUUAUUAGAUAAUAGUCAUGGCAAAUGUCAUUGCAUAUAUUAUUAAGGAAAGUAACUUUAACAAGCAUUAUUUACCAUAUCACAUGUCCCCAGAUCAUGGCCCAAUAUGUCAGCAUCUACAUACAUGCGACAUCUAUCCAUGAUGACCUGGCUGGUUGCAUUUGCUUUCAGAUUGUUGAGAACAACUUAUUCAAGGAUGAGAUUAAUCAAUAAAAACAUUGACUCAUGCCCAAUUGGUGUCUCAGCUGAUUUGUGUUCAGCUGGUGCUCCUUGAUUGAGGAAGUGAUCAACAAAAUUUAUACCUAUAACACCAUACACUAGGGUAGCAAAUACAAAGCUACUAUAGUAUAGUGGCUCUAAGGAUCGUUCACUGGGAAUGAAUAAAUUAACAAGCAGUCAAGGAUACCAAUUCCAAGUGAAUUGGUUUUGUUUCAUUUCACGGUUAGCUUAAGGAAUAAAACACAAACUUUGAUUUGUAAAGGUUGAGAUUUAAACUAACUAACUUAACAGAAGUUUGGAAUAAUUUAGGAAGAAAAGCAUUCCUUGGAGAUUUAGGUUCACUGGGGUGGUUCCUCAUGCAAAAGACAAAGCUCCGGUCAGAUGGUUCAUUUCCUCGCAUUAGAGAUUCAACUUAUAGUCAAUUCUCUAACCGGUGAUGUACAGAGACUCCUUCAAUUAGAUUUCACUUUAAUUCUCUCACUGAUGCAACUUGCAAUGGUUCAUGCCUCUCACGAGCACUUACCAUUCAAGGUGAUCUUUAACCUUGGAUUCCCCUUCACAAACUCGCAAGAGAUAACUAAUGGAUGUCUCCUAGAGUCCAAAAGGUUACCAAGUGUUGGUAAUUCCAGAAAAUCCUACCUUGAAGUCACCUACCAGAGGCUCGCAGGGGUAAACUAGUGCAUNNNNNNNNNNNNNNNNNNNNNNNNNNNNNNNNNNNNNNNNNNNNGCUCCAAAAGUGGCUGCUACGACUGUCAUCAAGAAUAGGCUUCAUGACAGAUUCUCUUUGCUUUUUCUCCUUGCAAUCCGGAUUCACUCUUGGCAAUUGAAUUCUCAACUUUGCCCAUGAUUCCUCAUAGCUCUCCUCAAUCUUGACUUGCUUUGGUGAUCAAAAUACUAACAAAAACACCAAAACUUACACAAAGUGAUCAAAAUUGCUUUAAAGGAUCCUUAACAUGUCAAUUGAGUUAAAAGGCCUAAACUACUACUCAAAAGUGUUAAAAAGGAUUAAUUAAAGGCUAUCAAAUAGCACUUUUUGAGUAGUAAUCACUCCCCCCAACCGACAUAUUGCUAGUCCCUUAGCAAUAUAGGAGAGAAAAUAAAAAAUAAAUAGCUAAUUAUACUAAAAUUUACAACAUCAUGCUAAAAGGAAAUAAUUCUCAAGUGGCAUGAUGAUCUAAUUCUCUCAUGAAUCAUUAAAGAAAUACAAACCCAAAUCUCAACAAGAGUCAUAACAAACUAUGCUAGGCACUGUUAAUCAAGGGAGUGCAUUAUGCAAACUGAAGUUUUAAAAUCAUUUCCCCUUUUAAGAACUAAACUUCAAUCUUCCACAAAAAUCUAUGUGUAUUGGUUCCUUAGCUUCCGAGAAUAAUAUGCUACUAAUCUCACCCCCCAACCUAUCUCUUUUCAACACUUUAGCAAACUGACCAAAAUCAAUAAGAAAAGAACACACUUUCAUCUUCUUUUUUCUUCUUUUUUUUUUUUUUUUUUUUUUUUUUUUUUUUUUUUUUCAAGGUAGCUUUAUGGGGUACUCUUUCUGACUUGUCCAUGUAAUGGGGGUCCAUCGAUGACUCCCAACCAAUUAAGGUUUAGGGCACCAAGUUUUAAGGAUCUUUCAACCACUAACUCCUCGGAUUUUUCCCCGGACUUUUAAGAAUGAAUUUCUAAUACCCAAACAUCUACCAUAUGCUAACUCUACCUAUUCACCCUUGUAACGAGCAUUGAGGUCGGUGACUCCCAACCAAUUAAGGCUUAGGGCACCAGGCUUUAAAAGCUUUCACCAUAUACCCCUCAGACCUUGCUCGGGUUUCAAGGCAAGCAAAACAACUUUCUUUAUUUCAAAGGCUCAUUGGCCUUUUGCAGGGNNNNNNNNNNNNNNNNNNNNNNNNNNNNNNNNNNNNNNNNNNNNNNNNNNNNNNNNNNNNNNNNNNNNNNNNNNNNNNNNNNNNNNNNNNNNNNNNNNNNUUCCCCGGACUUUUAAGAAUGAAUUUCUAAUACCCAAACAUCUACCAUAUGCUAACUCUACCUAUUCACCCUUGUAACGAGCAUUGAGGUCGGUGACUCCCAACCAAUUAAGGCUUAGGGCACCAGGCUUUAAAAGCUUUCACCAUAUACCCCUCAGACCUUGCUCGGGUUUCAAGGCAAGCAAACAACUUUCUUUAUUUCAAAGGCUCAUUGGCCUUUUGCAGGGUGUUUCAAUUUUUAUCAACUGAGGUCAAAUAUACCAAGUCCCAAAAUUAUCCUAAGUCAAGAGGGAAAUAGCUUUUCAUCUUAUAAUCGGAAACUAAUGUGCACAGUGUGUGGAUAGCUUAAAGUAGAAGAACUCAAUUCAAUUUCAGUAGAAGUUUCAACAAUUGGACCACUUUAGUAAGCAUAAUCCAUACUCUAAGUCAAGUGAAAAACAACAGUUCAAUUUCUCUUGGUUUAAUUUGAAAAUUUUUCCUCAAAAUUCAUGGAGAAUAGAGUAACACUAGUAAAAAGUAAAAUCUACAACUAAUUAACCAAUAUAAUUGCAAUACCAAAAAGGUUUAGAAUACUUCCUUCCUCAUACCCCCCAACCGAACUGAGCAUUGUCCUCAAUGUGAUUUGAGUGACUGUAAUAAAAGGGAGGAAGUGGUACCUCCAUGCUGAUAUCAAAUUCGAAUAUUGAUUGGGGAAAACCACAUGUUUCAAAAAGAAUAGAAUAUGUGAGAAAAGGAAAUAAGGAAACUUUAAUGCUAACUUUUAACAAGAAAUAGUCAACUUGUAUUACUUUGAGUUCAUUUGAUUACAAUGCUAAAGACAAGUAAUACAAGGAAUCCCAUAUAUAGUACCAAAAUACUGGGAUUUCUUUUCAACUAAAACAAAACAAACAUGCAUAAAAACAUAAACAGCAAAUAUAUAUAUAAUGUCUGAUGAGUGGGGUGAUGGUGCUAGGCAGAAGGAUCUGCCUCCUCAGUAGGUGGAUCAGCUGGGGCUUCGGGCUCUGGAGGAUGAGACUCUGAAGGCUGAGAGUGUGGCUCUGGUGGAGUCUCAGUGGAGGGCUCUACAGCUUGUGGCAGAUCGAAAUGGACUUGAAGCUGCCUUAGGAUGGCAGCUUGUUGAGCCUGAGAGGCUAACAUCUGCUCCUGGCAUGCUUUGAUGGCUGCCAACUCCUGAGCAAGAUUGCUCUGGGAAGCUGUAAGAGUCUCCAAUGCACGGCAAAGCUCUCGAUAUUCGGAUAUAGGGAUGGCCAUCCUCGGCUCAGCUGAUGUGGAUGGCUGUGAUGGAGCAGGUGCAGCUGGUGGAGCUCGAGGGAUGGCAGGAGUAGCAAGUGUAAUACCUUCAGGUGGAUGUCUUGGGGAGGCUCUCCUUGCUGCUGAAUGAGGCUGCCCAGGCUGAUCAAUUUUGUAGGCCGUCAUAUUAUUCCAUUUAUCAAGGGUAAAUGGCUCACGGCAUAUUCUCUUUCUUUCCUGCUGAGGCUCAGAGGGGUAUCCGAGAUGCUCCAAAACUUGGCAUAGCAGCCUUGGGAAGAGGAGUGGAAUGCAAUCUGCUCUUUGAAGCUUCUUCUUGUGAACCUUCUCCUCAAAGUAUAGAAGGGCUGCCAUGAUCAGAUGAUGAGGCCCAAAGAAGAAUCCUUCAGACAUCUUGUAUAGAGCUUCCAAGAGAACUCCCCUUCUUUGGGUCCAAUGCUGCAGGGGAUAGAUAUUAUGCCUCAAAAAGGCAUCAAUCAAAAACAUAACUGGAGGUAGCUCCCCCCUCAACAAAUGCGAUCGAUUUGCAGCUCCUCUGGUUAGUGUGCGAACCAUCUCUAACUCAGUAGGAUUUACCCAAGCCUUAAAAUUGUCGAAUUGGGUUGGCUCAAAAGGAAUUUGCAAAGCUUCAGCAAUAUGUCUUGCUCCCAAAAUACCAUGCCUUCCAUCAAUUAUAAAAUGAAUCAGAGUUGGAUUUCUUACUUCUUUGGUUGUCAUGGUCUGGUAGAAGUCCGUGACUACCCGAGGAUAGAAAAAAUCCCUUGGAGCUAGCAGAUGCUCCAUAUGAUAUCUCCUCAGCAGCUGGAAGGAUUGGGCAAGCUCUGGCCUCACUCUGAAUGCUGCUAAGUCGAAGCAAAGCUCAGAGUGGAAUGCCCGAGUUCGACAAUCCAAGUUUCCUUCGAUUGGGGGCUGGGGCAGCAUUGGCCUUCGGAUCACUUCUUCCAGAGGUGCUUCAGCUGCAAUUUGGGGCUCUGGAAUUGGCGCUUGAGGCUCCUGAGGUUUUUCUUGGGGCGCCGGAGAUGGUACCGGCGAUGGAAUUGGAGUUGCUUCAGGUGAGGGAAUUAGCGAGGGAACCGGUGACGGCACUGGAAUUUGUACCGGUGAAGGAUUUGGUGAUUUCUCAGGGGAUUGCUCAGUCAAAUCAAUUGGUUCAGAGCUCUCAACCCUGGUUUUCUUCUUCAAUGGCUGACCACCUGACCUGGUUAAAUAUCGCCUUACCGGCGGCUUUGGUGGCGCCGGCUUCACUGGAAGAGGGUUUGGUCUUGACGGCGAAGGCUGUGGAGCAGGUUCUGGAAUAGAGCCUGGACUUGGCUCCUUUCGCAGACUCCUUUUGCGGUUCGAAGGAGAUGAAGAUUUUGCUCCUCGCGUUCGUGCCAUUUUUGGGCUAUCGAUCUUUGGCCGGCGUUGCUAAGCGGAGAAGACGACCGGAGAAACGGACGGCGUGGCUUGGCGAAGAAGAUGAAGGGGCUGCGAGAAUGGUGCUCUGAUUUUUGAAACCCUUUUCGCAGCACUUUUGACCGGUAUAAAUAGGAAAAACGGAAGCCCAGGGGUCAGAUUACGUUUCGCAACAAAACGCCAAUUUCGCAGCAACUUGCCAUUUUCGCAGCAACUUCGCAGUGAGUUUCGCAGCUGCGAAAUUGAUGUCACUGUGCUGCGGAGUGGCACUCGUGUGCCAAAUCCACUUUCGCAAUUGCGAAAUGCCCUGCGGAAUGGGACUUUUGGUGCGAAAUCAUGCUUUUCCAUUUCGCAAUGAGUUUCGCAGCUGCCAAAUUGAUGCCACUGUUCUGCGAAGUGGCACUCGUGUGCCAAAUCCACUUUCGCAAUUGCGAAAUACACUCGCAGAGGCUUCUACAGUGCUGCGGAAUGGUUUGGCAGCAAAAUGCUCUUUUCGCAGAGGUUUCCUUCACUCUGCGAAAUUUCGCAGAGCUCUGUUUUUUCCCUGUUUUUGCUCUGUUUCGGCUCCAAUUUCGACCCGAUUUUUUUUCUUUCAAUCCCCUUGAAAUUUCUUCCACCUGGGAUCAUAUAACAUGAUUAAAACACACCUAAAAACAUGAUUUAAGAUCAAAAACUAAGAUCAAAAGCAUGGAAAAAAACUUGAAAAUUUACAAAAUUUACAAAAAUUUUGGACUGUGGUAAAACCACGCCCAGCAAACCCAUUUUCACUUAAGCUUUUUGAGGCUCAAGGAGGUUGAUUGCCUCCUUUUCUGAUUUGAAUGACUCCAUGAAUGGCUUAAGACGAUAUCCAUUGACUCUAAAGCUAUCCUUGCCAUUGGAAUUCAAUAAGUCCACCACUCCAUUGGAAUAUACUCGGUGAAUAACAAAUGGACCAAUCCACCUUGACUUGAGCUUCCCAGGAAAGAUAUGGAGUCUUGUGUCAUACAUCAGAACUUUUUGCCCUUCCUGAUUCAGUUUGCCCGGAUCCCAUUUGAAGCUUGCAUCCUUCACUUGAGACUUGGUUUGAGAUGAAGAUAUUACGACAGGACAUUGAUUAUUUUCUUCAAGGUAUGUGUAUUUCAGCUCCACAGGUAAAUGCUUCAGAUUGAGUUUUGGAAUUUCUUUUUCAACAGCUGCCUCCUCUUCUUCAUUGAACAGAGGUAGAAUUCCUUCUAUCUUUCUCCAACUGUGUAGAGUAGCAAGCCCAAUAGGAGAUUCAGAAAAACCUUCCUCAAUAUCCUCAAGACUUUCACUCAACUUGUCUUGCAUAUGCUGAUUGCAGUGCUCCUCCACCAAAGUAUCAAUAAUACAUAGCUCUUCUGGACCCUCUUCUUCUUCUGGAGUGAUUUGCUUUUUAGACAUAUAGAAAAUAUUUAGAUCCAGUGUCAUGUUACCAAAAGUGAGUUGCAUAAGCCCAUUUCUACAGUUGAUGAUUGCAUUUGAAGUUGCAAGAAAUGGCCUUCCAAGGAUGAUAGGAACUAAAUUAGCUUCCUUUACAGUAGGAUCUGUAUCAAGAACAACAAAAUCUACAGGAUAGUAGAAAUUAUCUACUUGAACCAAUACAUCCUCAAUUACUCCUCUUGGAAUUUUCACUGAUCUAUCUGCCAGAGAUAAAGUGAUUGCUGUUGGCUUCAACUCUCCAAGUCCCAAUUGCUUGUAGACAGAAUAUGGAAGCAAAUUCACACUUGCUCCCAAGUCUAACAAGGCUUUUUCCACUACCUUUCCUCCAAUCAUGACUGAAAUGGUAGGACUUCCAGGGUCUUUAUACUUCAAAGGAGACUUACACUGUAAGAUUGCACUUACUUGCUCAGUCAAGAAGGCUUUCUUGUUUACAGUCAACCCUCUUUUGAUAGUACACAAGUCCUUUAGGAAUUUUGCAUACGUUGGAACUUGUUUGAUCAUAUCCAGCAAUGGAAUAUUAACUUUCACUUGCCUCAAUACUUCUAGGAUUUCAGCUGCAUUUCUAACCCUCUUUUUCCCCUGUAAUGCUUGAGGAAAAGGUGGAAAAGUUGAUUUCUUCAGCAUUUCUUCCUUCAGAAGCUCCUUCUCUGGAAUUACUUUCAUUGUUGCAUCAGAGUCCUUCUUUUCUUCACUGAUCUCACUGCCUUUAUCUUCCAUUUCCUUCCCUUUCUUCAUCUCUUCUUCUUUCUCAACAUGUGGCUUGGGUGUUGGCUGCUCAAUUUUCUUACCACUCCUUAGAGUGAUCAAAGCUUUCACAUCUUUCACCUGUGAUGAUUCUCCCUCAUGGCUUUCCACUUCAUGGACACCUUUGGGAUUUUGGUUAGGUUGAGAAGGAAAUCUUCCCUUUUCUUGCAGUGUAUUCAAAUUUGUAAGCCUGGAGAUUGAAUAUUGGAUGUUAUCAAAUUUUUUAUUCAUGUCAUUUUGCAUUCCAUCCAUUCUUUUGUUCAACAUACUCUCCAUUCUGUCCAUUCUUUGAUCCACUCUGUCCAUUCUUUGAUCCACUCGAGCAUUGGUGGCUUCUUGCUUUCCCACAAAAUCUCCCACUACCUUGCUGAGAUUAGCUAUUAUUUGUUCAAUACUUGAAGAUUGCUGAGAUGGUGGAUCCGGCUGUUGGUAUUGAGUUGCUCUGGCCUUCCAUGAGAAAUUUGGAUGAUUCCUCCAACUUGAAUUGUAGGUAUUUCCAUAAGGAGCAUUGUUAUUGGGCCUGAAUUGUCCAACAACAUUUGCUUGAUCUCUAUACAUUUCCCUUUCAACUGAAAUUGCAGGGCAUUCCUCUACCAAAUGUUCAAACGAUUGACAAUUGGGACACAACUUCACUUGCACUGGUGCUUCAGCAACAGCUUGCACUUCAUGUAUUCUUUUCAGCUCCAGCUCCUCCAAUCUUCUUGUCAUCGCUGCCAACUUUGCUUUCAUGUCAUCAUCUUCCCUCAAAUUAUACAUCCCAGCCUUUGCAUUGUAAGCAUUCAACUGAGACUUCAUCUUUCCCACUUCUCCUUUGGUUGGUUCAUCCCAUCCCCUUGAAACAUCAGCUACAUAGCUCAAGAAAUCCAUAGCUUCCUCUGGAUUUUUGCUCAUGAAAUCUCCUCCACACAUUGUCUCGAGGAGUUGCUUCAUUGAGGAGGACAUACCAUCAUAAAAAUAGCUCACCAAUAGCCAAGUAUCAAAGCCAUGGUGAGGACAAGCAUUUAUAGCUUCCAUGUAUCUUUCCCAACACUCAUAGAAUUUCUCAUUCUCUUUAGCUGAGAAGUUUGAAAUUUGCCUUUUCAAGCCAUUUGUUCUAUGAGUAGGAAAAAAUUUCUUAAGGAACUCAGCUUGUAAAUCAGUCCAAGAGCGGAUACUCCUUGGCCUUAAAGAAUUAAGCCAAAUUUUGGCCUUAUCCUUUAAAGUAAAAGGAAAUAACUUAAGCCUCAUCAAGUCAAUUGAAGCUCCUCCCUCUUGGAAUGUAUUACAAACAUCUUCAAAUUCCUUGAUGUGUGCAUACGGAUUCUCACUUUCCAUCCCAUGGAAAGUUGGUAGAAGUGGAACAAGAUAUGGUCUGAUCACUAGCUGCUCUGUAGGGGGCACUAUACAUGAUGGUGCACUCAUACGAGGUGGAUGCAUACGGUCCCUCAUUGAUCUGAAUUCAUUGAGAUUGUCUUGACGACCUUGGUGACUAUGCUGAUCUUCAGGUGCAGCCUCCAUGAUAUUCAAGAUUACUUCAAAUUCUCCUCUCUGAGGUGUAUCACACUUAAUAAGCCUGCCUCCAAUGUCUCGUAUCCACUUUGGCAUACACAACUAGUAUUCAGCUGCAACUUAAAUAAAAACAGAGGACAACAAGAAAAACAGGGCUACAACAGCAAAAUUAAACUAGACUAAAUUUAAAAAAGAUAAACUUAGAUUGUAAAUAAACAAAGAGAGAAUGAAAAUUAGUAAAGUGAAAGAAACUUUACCAACUUGUGAUGAAAAUCACAAGUGCUCAAAAAUGGUAUCACAAUGAUCUUGACACUCAUUCCCCGGCAACGGCGCCAUUUGACUCAUGCCCAAUUGGUGUCUCAGCUGAUUUGUGUUCAGCUGGUGCUCCUUGAUUGAGGAAGUGAUCAACAAAAUUUAUACCUAUAACACCAUACACUAGGGUAGCAAAUACAAAGCUACUAUAGUAUAGUGGCUCUAAGGAUCGUUCACUGGGAAUGAAUAAAUUAACAAGCAGUCAAGGAUACCAAUUCCAAGUGAAUUGGUUUUGUUUCAUUUCACGGUUAGCUUAAGGAAUAAAACACAAACUUUGAUUUGUAAAGGUUGAGAUUUAAACUAACUAACUUAACAGAAGUUUGGAAUAAUUUAGGAAGAAAAGCAUUCCUUGGAGAUUUAGGUUCACUGGGGUGGUUCCUCAUGCAAAAGACAAAGCUCCGGUCAGAUGGUUCAUUUCCUCGCAUUAGAGAUUCAACUUAUAGUCAAUUCUCUAACCGGUGAUGUACAGAGACUCCUUCAAUUAGAUUUCACUUUAAUUCUCUCACUGAUGCAACUUGCAAUGGUUCAUGCCUCUCACGAGCACUUACCAUUCAAGGUGAUCUUUAACCUUGGAUUCCCCUUCACAAACUCGCAAGAGAUAACUAAUGGAUGUCUCCUAGGAGUCCAAAAGGUUACCAAGUGUUGGUAAUUCCAGAAAAUCCUACCUUGAAGUCACCUACCAGAGGCUCGCAAGGGGUAAACUAGUGCAUUCCCACGGUUGGAAAUCACUUGCCUUACCAAGUGUUGGCCCAGGUGACUCCAAGAUGUUUUAAGUUAACUAAAAACAUUGAAAUCACUAAAGGAUUUCACUUCCUCUUCAUUAAAAACUAAAACCACAAAGCUUUGCAUUCUUGCACUUGGAACCUUCCCCGGCACCCUUAGCUCCAAGGAAUUGGAGGUUUAGUUACUCAUUCUCUGGGGAAAACUCCUCAGAGAAUUCAUAACUUAGAAAUAAAAUGAAAAUACAAAGUGAGAAGGAAAGGCAGUAGAAAGAAAAGACCUUUACUUGCUUCCAAAAUGGUUAUAGAAGGAACUCCUCCCUGAGAACAGGCUCCCGAGAGGUAUUUAUAGCAAACUAAUAUAAAACUAAUUCUUACAAAGAUAUUUGGUCUUUUUACUAACUUAAAAACUAAGGAAUCAUGUAAUUGGUGGUUUACAAGGAGUAUUUUGGGAUUUAGACAACAAAAAUCUAAUGGAAAAUAUCUCCCAAUGUCGGUAGCAAGCUUCGGGAGGCUUCCGGAGCCAUUUCGCAGGAGAAAAGUGAGGUCUGCGAAAUUUCGCAGACACCCAAGAGGGCUGCGAAAUUAUUUCGCAAGACCAAGAUAUCUUCACCAGGCUGCAAAGUUGGCUUCCAUCUUGAAGUUUCCAGCUCCCUUCUCGCGGCAUGGUUCGUGCAUCGUUAGAAGGAGAAACACCUUACUGUACAAAAGUGUUGCGAAAUUCUCGCAACAAAAGGCUGAUUCCGCAACACUUCAGAGUGACUGGCUUGUAAUGGCUGCAACUUCUUCGUUUCAACUCCAAAUUGCACACCGUUUGAAGCAUUGGAUUGUUGACUUCCUGAGCUUUGAAAUGGUAUAUAGCUUGCAUCAUUUGGACUUCAGAAAGUGCUCCAAAAGUGGCUGCUACGACUGUCAUCAAGAAUAGGCUUCAUGACAGAUUCUCUUUGCUUUUUCUCCUUGCAAUCCGGAUUCACUCUUGGCAAUUGAAUUCUCAACUUUGCCCAUGAUUCCUCAUAGCUCUCCUCAAUCUUGACUUGCUUUGGUGAUCAAAAUACUAACAAAAACACCAAAACUUACACAAAGUGAUCAAAAUUGCUUUAAAGGAUCCUUAACAUGUCAAUUGAGUUAAAAGGCCUAAACUACUACUCAAAAGUGUUAAAAAGGAUUAAUUAAAGGCUAUCAAAUAGCACUUUUUGAGUAGUAAUCAAACAUCAACAAAUACUAUUCUAUUUUGACACCAUCUAAAUUUAGGAUAUUAGAGGGUCCACCGAGAACGAAGGAUCAAAAUAGUGUGCUCACGCUGGUGGUGCUUGCCGUCCAUUCAAUAUGCGGGACAUAAUCACCAUAAUCUGAAAAAGUUGUGGAAAUGCACAUAUUUUACAACCUCAAUCUACACUUUAUGCAUUCAUAUUACCUAUUAAUUGGGAAUUCAAUUCAGCUAAAGGAUAAGUAACUUACCACAGAAUUAACCCACCACCUUACAUUUAGACAAGACAUUUCUUCCCGGGUAAUGUACAUUCCAUACAUCUUGCACAAACUCUCACUACAAUGAUUGAAAAGGAUUUUUGUCAUGUGGAUGUCAAGUUAUUCACAUAUUAUAUCACUGUAACAAUCAUUGGUACAAAAAAUAAAUGUACUUAGGAUCACCAUUUUAUGCCAAUGCGCAAUCCGCUAUUACCCCAUCAACAUGAGGGAUUUUAGGGAAUUGUUUAACGCAUUGCAUGACAAACGGGCUUUUGCAAGUGGGAGAAUGCUUGACAAUCCUCUUAGCAGUCCGCUUAAAUCUCCUCAUAGAUGAAGGUCUAACUAAUUGGCUGCCACUUCCACCUACCCCAUCAUUUUCCAGCACUUUUUCUAUUCUCAAUUCUAAUGGAAGCGAUGACUCUGCAUGAAACUGUGGGGGCAGUGAUUGGGAAUUAGUGGCUGCUGGUGAUGCUUCCAUUCCAAUUGGUGAGUGGGGAGUUGGUGUGAGGCUAUCUUGUGGUAUCAUUUCUUCAGCUGAAGGCUGCUUGUCCGAUGUCUCAUGCCUUGGUUGAUAUUCAGCUGGCUGCACUGUCUAUGGGCAAGGGAUUGAAGAAGUCCUGUCUGAUCCACAUCGUCGGGAACGUAAUGCAACAACAUCCCGCGCCAAAGAGGAAGCUAAUUCUCAACAUAGUCUCUAAUGUCUCGAUGAGACAAGCUUCAAGUACCUAUUACAUAGUGGAAAAUUUUAUAUACUUGUAUUCAUUGUAUGGAAGAACUGGUAUACGUGGUGAGUGAGCAUGUACUAUCUCGGUAGCAUUGUCAGAAGUUGAGGAUGUCAAAGCUACUGAUGGUACAUUCAAGUGGGGUGUGCUUUUCUGGUUGCUUUUGUGCCUACAUGUUGCAUCAACAGUUCAAUGAGAUUAUAAACAAAUUGGUUAUUAGUUGAAUAAGCUAAUAUUGUUUAUAAAAUGUAAGGAAAUAUUUGUUAAGUUAGCGCAUACAUGCACAUGUCCAUAAGCACCGAAUGUUGAUAUUUUAGCUGCUAAUCGACAUUUGAUUACUUCAUCACUCUAAGCGACAGCUAGCGGGCUGGUAACUUCAACCUUUAUUGAUGGCAUGUAGAAGUAUGCCAUGUAGAACAACUGUGCAAGGGUAGUAUAUGAGACGAGGAACAUUAAAAAAGAAAAUUGCAGUAAGCAUGACAUUCAAAUUAAAAUGUAAACUAAGUUCAUCCUAAUUACAUAAUGUACUAGAGCCUUUAUUGUACCUGUAGGAACAUGAGACAGCCUUGGAUGUAAGUAGGAUGAUUUUUGCAAUAAUCCCUGAUUCCAUCCUCUAAGUAUUGGAACACAAACUUGGCCCAAUUCCUUUGGACACCAACAUCACCAUCCCAAAUGGUGUCCUAAAGGUCAUAGAUCCCUCCAAGCUUUGAGUUUAGUGCUAGCAUAGUGGCACAUGAAAAAAAUUAAAAAUGAUUUUUAAGAAUUCAUCACAAACUAGCAGAUUCUCAAGGUUUUGCUCCAGUACACUGAGGUUGUAUGUGUGAUUGAUCGGGACUGUUUUUUUAAGGACAACCAUGUCUACCCCGGUACUAGGGAUGGCCAUGACCCUACUGACAUGUUCUUCAUUGAUAGGAACAGCAUUGUCAGUUGCCAUAUUUAGUUUAUGUAAAGUGGUAUUGUGAAAUGAGCCACCCACAUAGCUCAUACCUUAGUUCGCGACAUGCAAAGCUCAAUAGUCCCCCAAAGCCCAUCUCCUUAAUGGCUUGCUGUUUUUCAUCGAAUAGAUGUGCAAUGACACCGAUAAAUUUCUUCCUUGAACAGCGGGACUUAGGAAACUUUUCCUACAGUAAAAAUGUAAUAUUUGUCAGUGACAAAAAAAUGCAAGAUAUGGAAAUUUGCAAUAAGGUUGAAAAUGAAGAUUCAAUCCAUUUUGGAAUGAAAACUCUUUUGUCAAUCUAUGUACAUGUUGGUGGAACAUGCCCUUUCAUUUUUCUGCGUUCUGUGGCCAUGCGUAUAGUGAGAUAACCUUAUGUUCGGAAGGUGAAACUGAAAGCUCAAGUUUUGACACCCUACAAAUUAAAGACUGUUAGUGUAAAGUGUCGUAUGGUAAUGCAUAAGGCAUGAAAAAGUUCAUUUACAAAUAAAUUAUAAGAGUCUAGGAAAAAUAAACGUAGAUUUGGAAAAAAAUUGAACAAUACACUAAUAAAUGGAAGCUACCAAUAAGAAAAUUAACCAGUUUUCUUCUUAACCAACCAAAUAGUUGAAUAUUAAGGACAACAACAGUAACUAUUAGUUGCACAAUUAGUAUAAUAAAGUGAAACAAAUUUUUUGUUUAACUAUUAGAUGCAAUUUUCUAGGGAAUCAAUGGCCUUAUACAUAGUCAAGAGUAUGGAUAUGAUAGUUGUAAAAGGGAAUAAAAUUGAGACAGCUAUGGCUUUCAAAAAAUUGAAAUUGAUUUAUGUGAGUGUGAUUGGUUUAACACAAGAUCAACACUUGUGAAACAUCAAGAAGAUAUGCAAGUUUUUGAAGGGCAUAGAGAAAAAUUCUGAACAUGAUCUUGCUGCUUGCCAAAACAGUCAAGUGUAGGGAUUUACUUCUGCUAAUGAAAUAUGCAAACAUUUGUAUUUGCAAGUUUAAUAUGAAAAAAAAGGGAUCCAACAAGUAAAUACGGUUCUAUGAUAAUCCAUUUGACACAAGGAUCCCAUUAUACCUAGUUUAAAAGGACCACAUAUAAUAAACAAGUCAUUGGCAAUAUCUAUGAUAGUUAUUCCCCAUCUUAAAACUUUGAAAAGUUAUAAGGUCGAGUUUUUUCCCAAUUUACACCAGGCUCAUGUUUAACUAGUUUAAAGUCAGCAAGCCAUAAUUUUCAAAACUAUGACAAGACUCACAAACAAGUCAACAAGCAAUAUCAGAACUUUAGUGCCCAUCUUAGAAUUUUAGCAAGUUACUAAAGAUAAAUAGAGUCAUCUUGGCAAGCAAAGCUCAUAUUUUAAGAUUGAACACUCCUAGCAAUUGAAAGUUACAUAUCUACAUAAGAAAAAAAUUUAAAUAUUUCCAAAACAUAAAUUUUAUAGAUGCAAUGUAAGUCAAAUUUGUUUUUGUCCAAAACAACAAGAACUUUACAUUCAAUAGUGCCCUAGCAAGCACCUAUAUGUUGCAAGAAUUCUUAUACAACGUUAAAAAAUGGGAUAAUAACCACCAUGUAUGUAGUUAGACAAGAUAAGUGGUGGUGACGGGAGAAAGGGGGAAUGGUGGAAAACAAAGUAUAACAAAAUAUACGGAUUGAACGGUAUACAUGGAUAUAUAUAAUGUAGUUUGCUUAAGCUAGUUUAAGCAAGGUGAUGGCAGCAAAGACAUGUGGUUGGUGUCAAUACAAAUAAAACAAGAUGUGUUGCAGCCAAAAUUCAGCCAUGGUGAAAGAAAUUAAUAUUCAGAGGAAUAUAUAUAUAUAUAUAUUCCUUUUCAUUUACAUAUCUUUACCAAAAUGUAUACUCAAAUGGUAGAUAUGAUGCAAGUUACAUUAACGUACAAAGACAUGGAAAAGGGCACUAAGGUCACCAAGUAAAAACAUAAAAAUAAAUGAACAAUAGGAUUCAUGUCCAAGACUACCAUUAUAAGAUGAAAGGACAAGCUUGAUAAAUGUCGGGACCUAUUCCUACAUUUUGAUUUAUAAAAAGCCAAAUGCAAAGAAAUAAAUAGAAAUGAUAGCAAUCAUCAUCUUUAUGUUGGAGAUGAUUUUCCAAUCCCCAGAAGGGAAAAAUGUAAAUAAUAAUAUUAAUAACAAUAAUAAUAAUAAUUAUAAUAAUGUGUAGAAAAAAAAAAUUUGAUAUCAAUAGUACAUCAAUAAUUAAGGGAUAUGAUAGCAAAAAAAGUUGGCCCCGUCAAGGAGUACAACCUAUAUAAUAACAUACUUCAGUUUGAUAAUGAAUUCUAAUAGAAUGAAACCUAUAUCUAAUGGAAGGGAGUGAUGUGUUUUUGAAACUGCAUAUGUUAUGAAAGAAAAUUUGGAUUCUUUGCCAUUCAUCCUGGUUUACAAGUACUGGACAUGUACAACAUCAAUGUUGGUUCAUUUCUGGUUAGGAAGGGUCUUUAAUUUAACUCAAUGGACAUAGCAGGUGACAACAAAGGUACAAAACAUUAACAUAAUAACACUCAUUCACUGAGAACCAGUUCACUUAAGUUAGUUCAAAUACGAUAGUACAAGAUCUGAACAAUGCAAUAAGGUGACAGAUAUGCAUUGAAGGCAAAUGAUUCUUGCACGUUUUUCUGUUGUGGUCGAAUAUAUGACAACAGGAGCAAUAGACCUUCCGUUUAUCUUGAAAUUGGGACUCAAUGCGCUUCUUCCUUGGCAUUCCAGGAGGCCCUUUGUAUGUGAAGGCUUUAGAGAGAAGAAAACCUCCCUAGUGAUAGAUCGAACCAAACCAUCAUCAUUGUAGUAAUCAUUAACGCAAUCAAUAAUGUUUUGGCCAAUGAAAAUAAUGACAGCUGCAACAUGUUCACAAGGGAUUCCCAACAUUUGCCAACCCCUAUAAGUGCAUGUACGGUUUAUAAUGUCUACAUUCAACAAGGCUCCCCCAAUACAUACCCCAAAUACUCCAUUCAUAAAUGGUGUGACCGGAUACAUCUCACCAUUUUCAAUAUUUUGUAGUACCUUAUCUUCAAUUUUUGGGCCAAUAAACCCUUUCCAAUUGUUGGACUCUUCUUUAUGCUUCACAAGCAUAGAACCUAACUUGGACAUGUGCUCCAAUAAAAAGUUACAAAUGGAGUGAUGUUUUUCAUUCUAUAAGCAAGCAUUAAAUGACUCGGCAAGGUUGGUAGUCAUUUUAUCUUUUUUUUUUUUUUUUUUUUUGAAUUUUGACAUGGCCCAAUGGCCCAAUGGCAAGACACAUUUUCUUCAACCCAUGUUGCUAAAGCAUCGUUGUAUUUUUUCAGUUCAAACAUGCAAAACGUUAUAAUCAUGUUCUAACCUUGCAUAUGCAAUACUAUCUAGGAAUUGAAGUGUAUUUUCUUUACCCUUGUUUCCUCGUGUGUUAAGCUUGGACAAGAAACUACUAAAAUUCUCCUUCAAGUGACGAUAGCAAUAGGCAUGGUUUUCAAGGCCAAACAUCUCAAGAACACUGCGAAGGAGAGCAAGAUGUCUAUCUAAGACAAUAAUAAUUUCUUGGUUUCCAACAACUAUCUUCAAUUUUUCCAAGAACCACAAGCAAUCUUCAUAAUUUUUCGAGCUCAUCACUCCAAAGGCUAAGGGGAACAUGGAGUCAUUAGCAUCGUAGGCGGUGGCUGAAAAUAGCGCACCGCCAUUUGGCCCACUCAUAUGGGUUAAAUCAAUUGCAAUGAUUGGUCGACACCCCAUUACAAACCCUUGGAUAGAUAUUGAAUGAGCAAUAAAAAACUGCUCAAAAUGGCCAUCAUCAAAAUAACUCAGCUCAAUGCUCAAUCCCGAAUUUGUUGCAAUCAUUCUUUCACACAUCCAUGGCAACAAUUUGUAAUAAUUUUUGGGUAGUCCAUAAAUGCGCUCCUUAACAUUCUCCUUUAUUUUCCAUGCUUGAAGGUAAGUCAACUGGAUGCCAUGUUGCCUUACAAAGUCCUUACAAAUUUGUCGUGGUUGGUAUUCAGGAGUAGAUCGAACGACAUCAUCUAUGACCAAGAAGGCACAAGUGGAUCUCACUAAAGGUUGAGACAAGGCAACAUCUCCCAAGCAAUGGUUAUGUACAUUUCGAAAUGUGUGUACUUGAACAAUGUUUGAAUCCCCUAUUGCACGAGCAGUGAUUUUCCUAAGACAAUCUUCAAUUGUGCAUACUACAGUCAUGUGUUUUGAACUAUUUAUUUUGUAAGAAUAUUGGAAUUUUCCAGCCAAAUACAUCAAAUAGAUUGCAUCUCAAAACUCUGAGACAUUUGGGAAGGUAUGUCCACUACCUAUAAUUGAAUGUUGGAACCGGCUUGGUUGAAAUUGAAUGAUAUUUGUUUCAACACAUAUUUGGGAAAACGCAAAUGACUCAAUUGUAGGCGACUCAUUAGAUAUGUUGCAACGAGGGCUCACCAAUGGAGGAAACAUGUGUCGAGUUUGAAACAACAAUAGGUGUUGGGGCACUGUGAAAAAAACAGGAAAAGAAAUUGAUCAUCCAUCAACCUAUGUGUGAACGUUGAUUAAAAAGGGAAAAAUAUUAUGGGAAGACAUUAGGUACCUAGUAAGGGUAAUGAAGACAUCACCACCUUCAGCACAUUGGCAGACAUAGACACGACAAAACAUGUUGUUAAUUUGAACAUCUUGACUAUGUUGACAUCAUCAUGCAUCAUCGAGAGUAGACAUGAUGGGUCAAACUUCACUAUGAAAUCCAAUUUAAUUGAAUUGGGCUCCAAGUUCAGUUCACCACAUACUUUUGAAACAAAUUCAGAAUCUAAGAUAUUCUUGCUAACAACAAUGCAAUUGGUCCGACCACCCUUAUAUUCGACGGACCCAACAACAAUCUUAACAAGCUCACCACCUUCAGGAAUGUAACAAAACAUCUCCUCUUCCAUUUCCUUAAUGACAUAAAGAUUUGUUACAAAUAAUAUAACAAUGAAAGAUUGAGGAAUUAUGUAUGUUGAUUGCAUUUACUUUUAUGUAGGAAAUAUACAAGACAACUUUUAUUCAUAGAUGAAAUAUUUGAAUCUUCAAAAAUGCAAUUUCCAGUCGUCACACAGGUAGUACCCAAGGUGGGCUAAGAUAGUACCUGAUGUUGACUAAGGCAGUACCUACAGUCGAUUAAGAUUGUACUUUCAAGAAUAAUGAGCUAGUACAUAAGGUUAACUUAGCAGUAGAAUAAGGUUAACCAACUGAUCACCAAAAUAAGACACAAUGGGCUAAGGUAGUACCUAAUAGAUUGGUAAGUUCUAUGCGCAAUUGAGUAUGUUUUAUGCACGUAGCCCAUGCAAUGCCACUUAUUGGUUAUAUCCUUGUGAAAUGGACUACGUACUGACCAAGGAAUUACGAAAUGUUAAGGAAUGAAGUUACUAACGCUAAUAUGAGAAGUGAACAUUUUCUAACCAGCACACCACUUCUAAAAAUUUGGUCACCCAUAAUGACAAGCAAGGUUUUGUUAGAUCAAUUUAUUUUUUUAGGGCAUCUUCAUCAAGAUGGGAAGUUUGUAUUGUUACAGUAGAUACAAAAAGCUACAGAAUGGGAAUAGGUUUAUGCUUAGCCAUGGAGACGAAGGUAGUUUUCUAUUCUGUAGAGGACCAAAACUAAGAACAAUACCCAUGGAGAUCUAGCUCCUCCCUACACCGUUUAUUCAUAAAGAACCUUUUAUCUGAAGACUAGAGUGUCAUAAAAUUUUCAUUUCUUCAUUUAAGUCAUUGAAAAUUUUGUUACUUCAUUUGAAGGGUUACAAUUAUUACUUGCAUAUAUAAAAUAUAAAUUUGACUAGAUAAUUUUAGCUGCUGAAACCUAUAUCAUUUUUUCUAAGCAUUUAUAGCAACUGACUAAUAGUUCAAGUAAUUUUAUAUAAAAAUAUGAAAAUUAAACUGAUAAAAUUAUCAAAUCUAGGUCAUUUUGUGCUAAAUGGGAGCAGUCACAGACAAACAAAACAAAAAAUAUAUAGAUCAAUAUGCAUUUCAUCCAUUCUACUUGCAUUCCCUGGUUCCUAAAAUCUUAUUAAGGAAAUGAAACCACUGCAUGGAUACCAACAGUUCCUAUAUAGCCUUUCCUAUUUCCAUAUUCUAAAAGGGAUCUCUAAAUCAAUAUCAAUUACCAAUCAACAAGAAGAGUAACAUUUACUAACCAAAAAUAUUUGAAAAAAUGGGACAUGAAUUUAAAUUAUAGACAUAAAAAAAACCAACGAAAACUUUAGCACCCAUCAACCAUCAAUAUCAUAAAAACCCAAAAAGUUGAGUAAUUUGGAAUCUAAAAAUCACCAUUUCAAAAGCACUUAUUUCGCUCUCAAAAGAAAUACAUCAUCCCGAAAAAGUGUUCCUUUUGGUAAUCCACUGCAAAGCUCAAUCCAAAAACACAAUCCAAUAAAUGAGUUUCACUAAAAAUGCAUUGUUUCCCAACACCCAAAAAUAAGAAGGAAAAAAAAAGGUUUAUUUUUGGCAAAUCAAUUAAAAAUUUGUUUUCCCAGUUCAAAACCACAACCAAAACAAAUGGGAUUUUCAGCAAAACGAUUCCCAACCCAUAUUCUUGCCUUCAUUUGAUAUCAAAAUAGAAAAGUUUUGGGGAUUCUCCAAUCCAAAUAAAACCGUAGAAACUGAUAAAAAUGCAUGAAAUUGAGAAAAUGGAUGAUGAUUCAUUAUGAACAUAUUUAAAAACUGAUUAUGAACUCCUAGAUGCCAAAAUUUGAGCCACGCCUAAUUGAGAAAAAACCCAGACAAACAGGAGAUUUUCGUGAUGUGAAUGCAAAUGCAAAAGAAAGAAGGAAUGGGUUAUCUUGGGAGAGAAAAUCUAAGAUGAGACAAAUGGGAUUAAGGGCUUUUGAACUUAAAUGAGAUAAAUUUUUGAAAACCAUACAUGGUUUUCAACUUCGCCUAGGUGAUGGAGUGAAAAAACAUGAGAGAAAUGGGUAUCAAAUGAGAGAGAGGAAAUAAAGAAUUGUCCGCUAUGGUGUUUUUGUGGAAAAGUCAAAUUUUGAUUUUUGAGUUUUCAAGUGGUUCAGUUUCAGCCCGUGUUGACAUGGACUCAAAGAUGCUGCUGGCUUGGAGACCUGGGGGGCAAUCUUGGCCUAAAAUAUGCACCAGGCUCAGAGUGCAUAAAAAAUAUAUAACUUUCCACAUUAAAAGCUAGUUUUCAUAUUUCAUAAAUAUGGUUCCGAAAACCAUAUAUGUCCCAAAUGGCCCCAUCAAAACACAAGUUUCCCAAGAAGAAAACAUCUUUCCAAUUAGCAUUCACACUAUGGUUUUCAAAUAGGUUACAGUAUGCCAUUAUAUCCUAUGUCAAUAAUUCACCAUUAGUGGGUGUACCAAAAGAUUCUUCCUAUGAAUCAUACAUUCUUUUAAAAAAAUACAAACUUGACUAUUUUCAUGCCUCUAUUGAUUCUGCCCAACAUUCUGUUUGGAUCAGUUGUCAUAUUUCUCUUGAAUUCCUAUGUUUCUGAUACCAAGUAUAUCAGAUAAGAGUUUUAAAAAAAACACAAGAAACCUCAAACUACCCUUGAUUGCACAAGGGAAGAAGAUUAAGGAUGAAAAUAGACCACAAUGUAUUGUAUAAACAGUUUUAUGACUCUGAAGUGUUUGGUUUCAAUAAUAAUGCGUAGAACACUCAUGUUCUAUCAACAACUCCUAGUGGCUCAAGUAGUGGAUCAACUAUAUUAGCAGCAGCAAAUUUAGCAGUAAUGUCACCAGGGACGGAGACUGAUGGAUCCAUCUUAUAUCUAUCUGAUAGUAAUUCAAUAGUUGGUAUCAAACCAACACUUGGUCUCACCAGCUGAGCUAGGGUGGUUCCAAUCUCUCCUAGGCAGGACACAGUUGGGUAGGUAAUGCUUCAUCUUCCUUAAUCCGAAUACAAGACUAUCAUCUGUUGAGCAACCAAAGAGAGCAGACUGGUCCAUCUUAUUGACAAACAUAGAAAAUGAGAAAUAACAAUGAAAAGUCGGGAUCUUACAAUUAUUUAAAUUUCAAAUGAUGAUUUUUAGUAGUGAAUUUUGUGUUUACACUCUUCAUCUAGAUUGAAGCCAAUCAAGCAUCAAUGAAUGUAAUUGGAUUUUAUUACAUGCAAUACAAGAUUUUCACAUGGUUCUGUUAAUUUGUUAGGCUUUGAUAUAAAUCUGCUUGCUUUAUGAUCAUCGGCAUAUGUUUCACUACUUUGUUUUUAAUUGGAAAAACUUCAUAGUUUUGUUAUAUCCAUUGAUCUCAGAACUCAAUGGUGUUAAUUCUAGUAAGAACUCCUAACAUUUUGGAUGCAAUAGGCCUAUCUCAGGACAACCUUCUAUUCUAUAGAGAUAUUGGAUGUCAUUGUUGGUUUUGACUACAGGAAUGAAGCAACUAGGACAACAUCCAAGUACAAACCAUAAGGUAGCUAUAAGCAAUUUCUCAAUGCAAAUGAGAUCAGGGAGAAGAGAUUGUAAUAAGUACGAAUGCUAAGAAACAAAACAGAUCAUGAUCAGAAUUCUUCCAAAAAAGAAUAGAGAAAAAAAAUGAAAAAUAUUGGAGAAAGCAUUUCGCACGAUCUUGCUUUGGAUAUUGAAAUGAAAAACAAUAGAGUCCCAACACUUCACAAAACCUAAAAAACUCCAAUGAAAAUCUACAGCAUUUCACACGAUCUUGCUUAAGAUAUUGAAAGAUCAUGACCUUCUCUCAAAAGAAGUCCUUCAAUAAAUAUGGAUUAAUGGUUUUCCUCCCUCCUUUAGAGAAAAUAGGGUUAGACCAUAGGGUAGGGCAGGGCAAAUGAAAGAGAAAACAAAUUAGGGUUUCAAUUAGAAGAAAAGGAAACCCAUUGGAAUCUCGGAAUGCAAAUCUUAUCCCACUUCCAGUUGGUAGCUAGACUCCUCACUUGAGCUACUCCUCUAAUCCCGACUACAUCGACUAAAUCUUUUGCUUUUGAAAUGAAAACCUCCAGAUCUCAGUUCGUUUCUGGUUACUUCAUGGAAGAGAAAACCAAAUAGCUCUAUCUAUGGAGCACUAGUGCAUCAUUGGGAAGUGAAGCUUAGAGUGUAUGCUCUCAAAUAUUCCUACCACCAUGAGAUUCCAAGACUUAUGGAGGGAAAUUCUGUAGAAGAAAUGAAACUUUUAGCUAAAUAUAUUCACUGUGUAACAUAAUGGCGCUUUUAAGAAGUGAUGAGGAUAAAAAAAAAUUUAUAUAUAUCAAUGACACUUUUCAGAAGAGCCAAGGAUGCAAAAAAUGAUGCUUAAAAUAAGCGCCAAGAUUUUUAACCUCUACCGUUCCAUGACGCUUGUAGAGCGCCAUAGUAAAGGAGCAUCAACGUCUAGGCAUGAUAAGCUAAAUAAAGAAACUUUUCUAAUAGCGUCCAGAAAGAAAACGUCAUUCUUUUUGUGUUUUUGUUUUUUUGUUUUUUUGGUUUUUUUAGUAGUGCUAGUGAUUAUAUUUGCAUCCUUCAAAUAUCGUUACACAUCUACUUAAAUUUUAAAAAACUUAGGACAAAAAUGGCAUUCUCCUUUAAAGUUAUUAUUAUGUGGAACUAUACUUUAACAUCCUUAAGGUUGUGUUUGGUUCCAGAAAAUACUAAGGAAAAAAAAAUAUAUAAAUAAAAAUGAUUUUUUCAUAUUUGGUUGUCCUAUGAAAAAUAUAGAAGAAAAUCAAAUAUAAUUAAAAUUUCAUGUAUGUUUAAAUUAUUUAAAUCUUUAUAUCGAUGAGUUAAAAUAAAUAAAAUUAGUUUAAAGUAACAAAUAAAAAUAAUUUAUCGACUUUUAAUUUAUUUUUUAUUUUUCUUCACUUUUUCUUUCCUUCUACUUUUCCUUUAUAUUUUAUUUCCUUUGUAUUUUCCCUCAAAUUUUCCGAGAACCAAAUAUAACCUAAGAGAAUAUAGAAUAUUCUAAACAUCCUUAAAGGUGUCCAUAACUAAACUUUUGAACACCAUUAAAAACGUGAAAAACUAUAUUUUGGACAUACUUCAGAUGUCGAAUCUUUCUUUCAAGUUUGAAUGCCAUGAAAUUGUUUCAAGAUUGGGAACAACAGGACCAACUCAUCAUGUCAGGGAUCCUUGCAUCCAUAUCAGAUGCUCUUCUAACACGUAUGGUAAAUUGUGAUACUUCAGCUCACGUAUAGAGGACUCUUGAACAACAUUUUGCCACUGAAGUACGAGCCAAAAUAACUCACUUCAAGACUCAACUUCACAACACAAAGAAAGGUGGCCCAUCCAUAAGUGACUACUUUCUCAAGAUCAGAAACAUUGUUGAUCACCUUGCACUAGUUGGCCAUAAUUUUUCUGAUAAAGACCAUAUAGAUGCAGUCUUUGAAGGAUUACAUCAAGAAUAUGGAACCUUCAUCAUCUCAGUAAGCUCAAGAAUUGACCCAUAUACAGUUGAAGAGAUUGAAGCACUCCUUCUUGCCCAAGAAGCUUGUAUUGAGAAAAACAUCAAGAUUCAUGAAUUCUCCCAGUGAUACUCGGGUUUUUAAUGACAUGUCAAAUUCAGAUAUUAGAAAAGUUUUCAUAAAAUUGUUAAUCAAAUGGUAAAAAAAGAAAGAAAGAAAGAAAAAAUUGUGAAGAUCCACAUCUUAAUUGAGAGAGAUUUUAGAAAAGUUAGUUAAAAGUGAAUAGUUUAAAAAUCUUGCCACGUGUAUGUAAAGAGUAGGAAUUAAAAAAAUUAUUAAAUAAUUGAGAUUAGGUUUUAAAAUUUUGAAUAUUAAGUAUAUUGUGAGAAUUAAUUUAAUAAUUAUUAGAGAAUUGUGGAGAAAAACUUGGUAAAAAUUUAUAUUAUAUUGAAUUGUUAUAAUGAAUAAUUAAAAAACGUUGAAUUUAAUUCUAGAACGAAUCAAUUUAACUCUUAUACUUGGAAUUAAACCUUAUAGGAUUAUAAAACAUCAAAUAGAAUUGAAUUGAAAUUAAGUUUAGAUUAAAUUAUGAUAUAUGAAUUUAAGAAAAUGUAUAAAAGGGUAUUUUAAUUAAAUGCGAAUUUAAUGAAUUUAACUUUUGCAAUUUUGAUUCAAUUGAGGAAUUUGACAAAUGAAAUAAAUUAAAUGAAAGGUAUACUAAAGGUUGAUAAUUUGAUUAUUAUAUAAAUUGAAUGACUAAAUAAUUGAUGGAAUUAAGUUUUAGAAUAUUGCUUAAAUUUGUGUUAAUAAAUAAAUAUUGGUAAAAUUAACGAGUUAAAGGUUAUCAUGAAUCUCAACUUCUUGUAUGUUGAAGAAUUAUUUUAUAUUUAAGACCUUUUAUAAAAUAGAUUUUUAUUUUUUAUUUUUUAUUCUUUUUAAUAGUUAAUGGAAUCACGUCCUAAAUGAAUUUCAAAGUAAAAAUGCAUUAGGUAAUUAAAUUCAAAUUACAUUUUUUGAAGAGUAGACUUGUAGUAAUUAAAUUUAAUAAAGAAUACAAUGGUAUUUUUCGUAAGACAGAAAAUCAUAAGUUGAGUAUAAUUUAUAAUUGUGGAAUGUAAAAUAAAAACUAGUAUUUUAAUUUAUUAAAAAAAAAAUGUGUGGUAUUUCAAAUUUGUUUAAUAAUAAUAAUAAUAAUAUAUAGAAGGAAUGGAGAACAUAAUAGGGGCGUUCGUAGAAGGGAAAGUGUCGUUGGCCUUCGACCGAUCGUUUGGUGGCCAAACGACUUUCAUUUUGUGUGAGAUUUUAGAAGAACACUCUAUUCAACAUGAGGAACAUAUGAACGUAGUCAGAUUUUGAUUUCAACAGUUAGAUUUUCUAAUUUGAGGUAAGGUGGUUUAAUCCUAAAACUUUGAUUUAAUAUUUUAGUUUGAAAAAAAUUUAUAUAUUGUGUUGUUGGGAGAUAAUAGAUGUUAUUUGUAUUAUUUGAAGUGUGAUUAUGAUUAUUGAUAAUUUUAUUUUGUGAUUUACAUAUUUUUUUUGGAAUAAUGAUAAUAUUUAAAAUGAUUUAAAUAUAGAAAAAUAGUUGUAUUGAGUGUUAGAAAUUAUAUAUUGAGACUGUUGAGAAUAAAUAAAAUUAAAGUAUAAAUUGUGUUUCAUUGAUAUUUGAAUUAUUGAGAAUUUUCUUUGAUAUUUGGGAUGAGAUAAUUGAAGAAAAAUUGUUGUGUGGUUGUUGGAAAUUAUUAAGCUAUUGGGAAUAAAUAAAAUUUAUGUGACUAAGGUUUAACCCAUGUUUCGAUAAUAUACGAAUUAUUUGUGAAUUUUCUUUGAUGUUUGUAGUGAUUAAAGUGGAGAAAAAUCGUUGUGUGAAUUAUUGAAAAUUAUAAAACAUAAUUGGAGUAAAUGUAAUUAUGCCUUGGAAGAAAAAGAAAAAUUGAAGAAAUGGUUGAAUUAGUAACUUUAAUUUUAUAGGGUACUCAAAACAUUUCCAAGUUCACAAUCUAAAAAUCUCAAUCUAAUCAUUGACAUUCAAAAUAUAAAGUGAAAGAACAUUGUUUAAAACAAUUUUCAAAAUAAUUGGUUUAUGUUGACUUAUGCUAGUGUUUUAUGAAAGAAAAUACUACAUUAUUGUAAUAGCAUAAACAAUAUUUAUCUCAAUAAUUUGAGUCAUUACACUCUCAACGGGAAAAUAAUAUAUCCAACUCAUAAGCAGAUUGUUUUGGCACCUCUAGAGAAUAAGUUCAGAAUUUAUUGUAAUGUCAUCUUCACACAUCAGAGAUGGACAUGGAUGAAGACCCUCAAUGAAGAACUCAAGGCCAUUUACAAUACUAACAUUGAGUAGUUGCAUUUUUCACAAAAGAUAGUUUGAUCUAUCUCAUCGUAUAGUUAGGACUUGGUUUAGUGAUGGAAGUGGUAGUGCAUGGUAAUUUUGAGAAAUUGAAGACAAGGUUCCGAUCGAGAUUGAGGAGGACGAAACCAUUGCCACCAUUGUUGAAGAGGUAAAAGUUUCAACAAAGGGCAUGGUUGACCAUUGCACCUAUUAUACCCAAGGAGGAAAAUAUCGCGAUAUGUCAUCCAAGCAAACUUGCCCUUGGUAUAUAUUAUGUACUAAACUUAUAUAUACUUAAACUCAUUAUAUAAAGAAAAUAUUAAAAGAAUAUUUUAAAGAGCAAAUUAAUUAUAAUUAUUUUAUAAUUAAAUGCAAAAUUUUCUUUUAAUUGAUUACCAAAAAUAUAAAAAUUAUAUAAUUUUUUUCAUAAUGUUUUUAUAUCAUUAAUAAUUAAUUAAAUAUUAAAAAAUUAUAUAUAUAUCAUAAUUUAUUUUAUAUUGUUUAAUACAAUUGAAUUAAAUGGAUCAUAAUUUUAAUAUUAAUAUAUAUUUUAAAAUUAGACAUAUUAUAAUCAAUUAUCAUAAUAUUAGAUGUAAUUUAAUAAUAAAUGUACACUCGAUGCAUACAAUAUUAUUAUCAAAUAUAAUAAAUCAUGUUAUACAUAUAUCAAAUUUUUCAAUAAAAUAACUUUAAAAUGUCUAUUAUACUUCUAAUUAUAUUAAUAUAGGGUUUUUCUUACAUUUUCAUGAGUUUUUAACAAUUUUAAGAUUACCGCUAUUUUUUUUCCAAAAUAUCCGCCGAUAUAUCCGAUAUAUUCGUAAAAUCGAUGUACCGAUAUAUCCGUGAUUACCGAUAUUUUCAUCCUUGAUUAUACCAUGUAAAAUAAAAGUAUAGUGGUUUUGGAAAAUACAAUGAAACAGAGUGAGUUUGAUUUUUUAUUUUUUUAUUUUUUAACAAAAUAAAAUGUUGAAAAAAAGAAGUAAAUAAAGGAAGAUAUAUUAAGAGUCAAUUUGACAUUACUUUUAAUGAAAGUGUUUUUAUUGUAAGUGUUUUCUUCUACAACACUUCUGUGAAAAACACUUUUAUGAGAAUUUUAAAAAGUGAUUCUAAUAGUAUUUUUAAUAAUAUAUUGCAUAAGUAUAAAAACAUUUUUAAUAAUAAUAAAUUACUAAAAAAGGAUAUUUAUUACAAAAAAAAUAUUAUAAUAAAUAAAAACUUUUAUUAAAAAAAUAUAUAAAUAUUUAAUUGUUAAAAAAACUCAAAAAUUAUUUUUAUGAAAAUGAAGUGAAAGAGGAAGAGGAGAGUAAGAAAAAAAAAAAAAGAAAGUUAAAGGGAAAUGGAGGAUAGCGAGAAAAUUUAUUUUAGGAAUAUAUAAAAAAAAAUGAAGUAUUUUUUUUUUAAAGAAACACCUCUCAAGUGCUUCUCUAAAAAACACUUCAAAUGUUUUUUAAAAUUUUCAUAAGUGUUUUUCAAAAUAUUAUCAAACAUAUAUUUUUUUUAUCUUAAAAAAGCAUUUAAGUGUUUUUAGGGCUAAAAACACUUCUAAAAAACAUUGCCAAAUGAGCUCUAAAUUCAUAUUUCCUUGAAUUUAUAUUUUUUUGAAUUUAUAUUUUAUUUUCUCUCUAUGAAUUUUCCUUUAUUUCAAAUAUAAACUAUAUUUUAAAAGGUUAAUUUUAUUUACUUGCCUUAAGGUUUUUGUUAGAUACACUUAAUUAUCAUUUAUUUGAAAUUUUAUUAAAUAUCUUUCUUAUCCUUUUCAUUUCUUAAUUGCCAUGUACUCGAUAAAAUCAACUUGAAGGGAAUUAAGCCAAAUUCCCAACCUGUGAGAAACAAAAAAUAGAGAAAACACAAGCUAAAGAAAAAGAAUCACACGUACAAGACAAUAUUUACGUGGUUCGGCAAUUUGUCUACGUCCACAGAGUUACAAAAAUAUCACUAUUAUCAGGGAAGAAUACAGAGUACAUCUUGUGGCUACAAUAUUUUCUCUCUAUAUAUAACAUAGCAACCACACCACAUUAAAAAACCCUAAUUACAAAAGGCGGUUCCACAAUGGGUUAAACGGGCCUAUCGGCCCAAGCCUUCACUUCAUGGACUAAGCCUUAGUAAAUCUCCUAUUAAAAAACCAUACAAUAUUAUUCAGGUCGGGUUGUCAAACCGAAUCAAACAAAACUAGGCUCCACAAAGCCCAACAAAAUCAAUCUUAUUAUCAUCCUUACUUCUUGAACCUUGGCUUAAAACUCCAACUUCACACAACAUCUAGUAUAAAUUAAGAAAGGACUUAUUAAAAGUAGUAACAUUCUACUUUAGUUUUAAAAUGUUAACAAAAAUUAGAGGAGAAUGAACUAAAAUAUACUGAAUUUAAAAUCAAGCUAACAGAUUAGAAACCAUUUGAAAUCUCACGUGAUUAAAUAGCUUUCUUGUAGUCUGACAAAGGAAAGAAAUUACUUGAAAAGAAUGGCAAAAUCGAAUCGCAUCUUAUGAACUAUAAUCACAUGAUUUCUAGACUUAGUGCAUCCAUUGCCAAGAAAGAUGACGAUCAUAUCACCUUUUGUAAUAAUUCAAUGCCUCUUUUUGUAAAGCCAUAUCAUAAAUAUAAUGAAAUUAAAAGGCAAAUUAAUCAAUCAAAUAAUUAAAAUUUAAAAUUUACAUGGCAGUAGGUGAGGGAAUUGUUCAGUUAAGAAUGAAGAGAGACCACACUCGAGGAAAUAUUAUUGAGGGCAUUGAUGUUGACUUCCCAUAUUCACACCUAAUUAAAAAGGUGAUUAAGAAAAUAAACAAAAACAACCCAAAAAGAGUGAAAGAUAUAUUGCUAGGAAAGAUUGUUCAAAAUGAUCCCAAGUUAUAAAAAUGAACUCUUUCAUUAAGAUGACCUUUUUGAAUACUUUUAUCCUUUUUUGUUUUUUGUUUUUUGUUUGCCUUCAAAAUUAUAAUCUUUCCUUUAUUUAUGUUAUUUUAUUUACUUUAUCAUUUUUUUUUCUAAUUUUUCAUUUAUUUCUUCUACUUACUUUUUCUCUUCUAUGAAGUCUCAUUAUAACUUCAUCUUUAACUUAAUCUCUCUCUUACCCCAUAAUUUCAUCUUUAGUUUAGUCAUGUCUUAUGAAGCUAAUUGUAUUUUCCUCCCUAACUUACUCUCUAAGUUGUUAGUAAUCCUUGAUCUCAAUUCUUUCUCGUACUCCAUUUUUAUUUUCAUUCAAGGUGCUCAUUAAAAUUACACAAGGGCUAAAUUUAAAUUAUAAGAGUUAAUUUCAAUUACAUUCCCUCAAGUUUUGGCUUAGAUACACCUUACCUCAACUGGUUUGAAAUUUCAUCAAUUAUCUCUCUUAUUUUAAGUGAAAGGGGAGGUGAGUAAAAUUAAUAAAUGAAAAGGUAAAGGAUAUAUUUGAUGAAAUUUUAAAUCAAUGAGCGAAAAUAUAUUUAGCUGAAACAUCAUGGAAAAUGAAUUAAAUUAACUUUAUACAAAACUUAACUGAGAUUAAAUUCUUGUAAAGUUUCUCACUUAAUCUAUCAUGAGAUUAUGUUCAAAAUCAUAAUAGUGAUGAGAUCUCAAACUUCAUAUCUUAACACAGUCAAUUGAACUUAUCUUGAUGAGUUUGAAGUCUCAAAAUUGUUUUGAGAUCCCUAGCUAGAAAUAAUCGCUAAAGCCCUUAAUUUUUUUUAUUAAAAUGUCUGUGAGCUUGAUUGAGAUCAAUUUGGAUUACUUUUAGAGAUUCUAGAGGAAUUUAGAAGAAUAUAUAAAGGAAAAAACUUAGGGAAGAUGAAAAGUGUUAGUUAGAGCAGCCUUCUAUUGCACCAAAAGAAGUGGGCGCACCCUUCUACUAUGCCAAAAGGACUUGACGCAUCUGUAUAAGUAUGCUAGGAAGGAAAAUAAAGCAACAAGCCGACCUUUGACUUGAGAGAUGGAGAACCCGUAAGCUGAAUACACGUUCACACGUUCUCACUUCAUGAUGUGGUCCAACACUUUGACCACGUCCUCCACCAUCUCACUUCCGCUGCGGUUAAGGAGCACGUUCCACCAACUGCUCAACAUGGUGGCAAGAGCAACGUGGUUUGAUGGAAGCCACUGUUAUAAAGUUUUCAGAAAAUGGUCCCGAACUCACUCUGCUAUUAUCUUCAAAAACACCAUCUAAAAAAGAGAGAUUAGAGUUUGGAAACCAAAGGUUGAAUCGAUUCCAGCAACUUGAUCUGAUGGCUGGAGGUAAGUAGACUACAAGUCUUUUACAGAUUGAAUUCAUGUUGUAAGUGUUCAUUGAAUUGUUUAUAUGCAUUAUGAACUGGUUACAUUUGGUAUCAGAGCCAUUAAAACCUUGCCUCUGCCUUGGUAUCUAUUUUGCACCAGAAUUGUUUAGUUAAUGUUUCCUUUUCUGGUUAUAAAAUACAAUCAUACAGUAUGCUUGAGAGGAAUAUCCGUUUUAUGAUCUCUCAAUUACUACUUAAAAAAAUUAAAAUACCCAUGCUUGCCGACACCACAAAUGAAGGAUCAUUGCUACUGCCACUGUAGUAUAAUUUUAAUAAAGUCGGCUCUGGAUGGUGAGCCUCCACCCAAUCUAUGAGCCAUAGCUUUACUUGAAAGAACCCAUUUGCCAAACUUGGAGAUCGACUUCUCCAAUUAUCUCCAAUGAAAGCCACUAUUCGGCGACUUUCCGACAGAAAUCCUGCAUCAUUUCCGAAGUGGGUCUGCCUCCGGUACACCCAUUUCCAAAGGUGACCAUGAUAAGGGCUAAGGAAGCAAUCUGGUGGGUGUUUAAGAGGCCAUUGUCACUGUGAGUCAUGCAAAGCUUUCCUGAAGCGCUGCCAGGCUGUUUUGCGGCUGAAGCAUGGUGUUGCCUGUGAGGAGAGGCGCUGUCUAUCUGGUGCAUUUAGUCUCCACCGUCAUUGCCUCAAUUCUGCCAUGGUCAGACUUGGACUAGCGGCGGUGGAUUUGGUGCCGGAAAAAGCGGCAACAGUGGCGUUCAUCCGCUGGUGAUGCAGGCUGCUUGAAAGGCACUGCGUGGGGUUGUUCUUGCAUGUGUUGCAGACGGCUCCAUAGCUAGCUAAUAAUGGUGCAAUCCAUGUGGGUGGCGGCGAGUACGUGGCUACCAGUGAUGAAGUAGUCCAUGGGGUGGCGGAAAAUUAGGAUGGUGGGUUUUCGUUGCAGUUGAUAAUAAUAAUAAUAAUAAUAAUAAAAACUAGAGAGAGAUUGAGUUCUGCUAAGUUUUUGGGCCUUGGUAUAAGUGACUUUUGGGCCUAUGAAGCUUAUUGCAUGACAGUGGCCCAUUUUACUGAAUUAAGGGGCUUUAAGUGUUGGGCUAUGGGUUAAUUGUUAAAAUUGGGUCAAUUUAGGUUCUUAUGGCCCGGUUUAAAUUAUUUUUUUGGGCUUGUAACUGAUUGUGAAAUUUGGGCCAAUUUAGGCAAUUAUGACCUGUUUGAAAUAAUUUUAUUGGGUUUAGGCAUCCAUUCAUAAUUUGAAACCUUUUAAAUUAUUCUAAAUUAUAUGUGAUUUUUAUACAUGCAAAUUAAAUUAUUUAUUUUAAUUUAUAUGUUUGUAUGUGUAAAAAUAUAGCCUAAAUUUAGUUAGAUAUAUUAAAAUUAUAUCAUAUAGUAUGCAUGCAAUUGUUGCCUAAAAUUUAGUUAGAUAUAUUAAAAAUAUAUCAUAUAGUUUUAAUGUCCAGUGAAUCCAUAUGAUUUUUUAAAUAAUUAAGGAAUAGCCACAACAUCCUUCAUUAUAUAAAAAUUAUAUAUUAAUAAGGAUCACAUUAUGGACAUUAAUUGUAAUUAACUAUAUAAAUAUGAUGAUUUUACCCCACAGGGUUUUCAUUAUGUUUAUAUAAUUAAUUAGGAUAAAAUAUUAAAAUUAAUUUUUCCUAAUUUACCCACAUAAGUUAUGAAUAAUUAAUUUAAUAGGUUUAUCAUAAAGAUUAUAGACAGAAAAUAUCAAACUAUAUUCAUAAUAAAUUUCAUAAUUCAAUAAAAUAGUUUGAUAAAGUCUAUCAUAAAGAUAAUUAAUCUGAUUGAAUUAAAGAUUUAGCCUACGGGCAAUUUUUAACAAAAUUAGAUUCAAUUUUAAGCAUGUUCUACAUUGGUAAAGCAUGAAUUUAUAUUAAAGCCUCAAAUUUUUUAAUAAGCUUGUAAUCCUUUUGUGCAGUUUUACCUAGCAUAUCUGAUAUUCGUUGUGAGGUUCCCGAACUUAGAGGAGAUAACUUUAAGAUAUGGAAGGAGAGAAUUCUUCUUCAAUUAGGGUGCAUGGACAUAGAUUAUGCUAUAAGGAAAGAUGAACCACAUAAGAUCAUUGAUACCAACACACUUGAAGAAAUAUUAUUGUACGAACACUGGGAGAAAUCUAAUCGCCUUAGCGUGAUGUACAUUAAGACAAAAAUCAGUGCUGGUAUACGUGGUUCAAUCGAGCAACAUGAGAAUGUCUGUGAAUUGCUAAAGGCUAUUGGCGAGCAAUUCGUCACUUCAGAUAAAGCCUUGGCAAGCACCCUAAUUAUGAAGUUCACAUCCCUGAAGCUCACCGGUAUAAGAGGUGUGCGUGAACAUAUCAUGGAGAUGAGGGACAUUGUGGCUCAAUUGAAGAAACUCGAGGUAGAAAUGUCUGAAUCUUUCUUGGUGCACUUUAUCCUUAACACUCUUCCACCUCAAUAUGGACCUUUCAAAAUCUCUUACAACACACAUAAGGAUAAGUGGUCUAUUAAUGAAUUGAUGACCAUGUGUGUUCAAGAGGAAGGAAGGUUAUUGAUGGAACAGGGAGAAAGUGCCAUGCUGGUGAUGCAAAGGAAAGGAAAGAAAGGAAAAUCUCAAGCUAGUCAGAAAGGGAAGCAACAAAUUCCUCCCAAAUCUGACAUUAAGAAAGACGAAAAGUGUUUUUCUGUAAAAAAAAAGGACACGUGAAGAAGAAGUGUCUGAAAUUUCAGAAUUGGCUUGAGAAGAAAGGUAACCCUACCUCAUUUGUUUGCUAUGAAUCUAAUAUGGUUAAUGUAAACACCAACACAUGGUGGAUUGAUUCUGGAUCUACAAUCCACAUUUCAAAUUCCUUGCAGGGUAUGCAAAACUAAGGAAGCCAAUGACAAGUGAGCAAUUCAUCUUAUCCGGAAACAAGAUGGGCUCGCAUGUGGAAGCAAUAGGGACAUGUUAUUUAACUUUAUAUGGUGGUUUUAUUUUGGAAUUGCAAAGGACCUUUUAUGUACCAAGUUUCUCACGAAACUUGAUUUCAGUUUCUAGACUUGUACCGUUUGGAUAUUCCUUUCAUUUUUCAGAAACAUCUUUCAGUUUGAUUUAUAAAUCUGAAUGUGUUGGGAAUGUUAUCUUGUCUGAUGGUCUUUAUUGUAUAUUAUUACAAAAUGAUACCGCUCAUAAUUCAUUACAUGUCCAAACUGGCAUUAAGAGAUGUGUUGUAAAAGAGGAUUCCUCUACAUUGUGGCACCAGAGAUUAGGUCAUAUCUCCAUAGAUAGAAUCAAAAGAUUGGUGAAUGAUGGGGUACUUAGUACUCUAGAUUUUACUGACUUUGAGACUUGUGUGGACUGCAUUAAGGGUAAGUAGACCAAUAAGUCAAAAAGAGGUGCUACUAGGAAUUCCAGCAUACUAGAGAUCAUACAUACUGAUAUAUGUAGUCUUGACAUGGACUCUCAUGGUCAGAAAUACUUCAUCUCUUUCAUAGAUGAUUUCUCACGAUACAUGUAUCUCUACAUAUUUCAUAAUAAAAAUGAAGCUUUAGAUGCCUUUAAAGUCUUCAAGGCAGAAGUAGAGAAACAAUAUGGUAAACAAAUUAAGAUUGUGAGAUCAGAUAAAGGUGGAGAAUAUUAUGGUAGAUACUUGGAAGAUGGACAAUCACCUGGGCCAUUUGCGAAGUUUCUUCAAGAGCAUGGGAUUGUUGCCCAAUACACCAUGUCUGGUUCUCCAGACCAAAAUGGUGUAGCAGAAAGAAGAAACCGAACUUUAUUGGACAUGGUGAGGAGUAUGCUUAGCAGCUCAAAACUUCCUAAAUUCUUGUGGACUGAAGCACUUAAUACAGCAGUGUAUAUAUUAAACCGAGUUCCAACCAAGGUUGUCCCAAAGACGCCAUUUGAGUUAUUGAAAUGUUGGAAACCGAGUUUGCGACAUAUGCGCGUUUGGGGAUGCUCGUCUGAAGUGAGAAUUUAUAAUCCACAAGAGAAGAAACUGGACCCAAGGACUAUUAGUGGGUAUUUCAUUGGAUAUGUUGAAAAGUCUAAGGGGUACAGAUUUUACUGUCCAUCUCAUAGUAUUAGGAUUGUGGAAUCAAGAAAUGCUAAAUUUCUUGAAUAUGACUUGGUCAGUGGGAGCGAUCAAUUUAGAAACAUAGUUUCUGAUAUUGAUCAUACAGAGUCUCAACCUUCCACUUCAAGUGAUAGAUUGUUUAUUGUUCAUAACACCCCUCAAGUACAAUCGGGUGUAGAACGAACAAUCACUGAAGUUCAACCAGUUGUUGAAGUUCCACAAGCUGUUGACAACAUUCCAGUAGAUCAAGUUGAUCAGGAGUUUCCUGAUACUUCUGGACAACAAGUUGAACCUCAUACUUCCUUAGAAGAUAUUGGUGCAACCUUAAGAAGGUCUACUCAAACUAAGAGGUCAGCAAUUCCUAAUGAUUAUGUAGUGUAUCUACAGGAAUGUGACUACAAUAUAGGAGCCGAAAAUGAUCCCGAAUCAUUUUCACAAGCCAUGAGUUGCAAAGAAUCAGAAUUGUGGUACAAUGCCAUGAAGGAUGAGAUGAGUUCCAUGAAGUGCAACGAUGUUUGGGACCUUGUUGAGUUGCCUAAUGGUGCAAAAACCAUUGGUUGUUAAUGGGUUUUUAAGACAAAGAAAGACUCAUUAGGCAACAUUGAGAGAUACAAGGCCAGACUUGUUGCAAAGGGGUUCACUCAGAAAGAAGGAAUCGAUUACACGGAAACUUUUUCUCCUGUAUCUAAGAAAGAUUCCUUACACAUUAUAUUGGCAUUAGUAGCCCACUUUGAUUUGGAAUUGCAACAAAUGGAUGUGAAAACAACAUUUCUUAAUGGAGAGCUAGAGGAGGAGGUUUACAUGAAACAACCUGAAGGAUUCCCCUCUAGUGAUGGUGAGCAAUUGGUUUGUAAGCUUAAGAAAUCCAUAUAAGGUUUAAAACAAGCAUCCCGCCAAUGGUAUUUAAAAUUUCAUAACAUAAUUUCUUCAUUUGGUUUUGAAGAAAAUGUUAUGGAUCAAUGCAUAUACCUUAAGGUCAGUGGGAGUAAAGUUUGUUUUCUUGUUUUAUACGUGGAUGACAUCUUACUUGCAACCAAUGAUAAGGGUUUACUUCAUGAGGUGAAACAAUUCCUCUCUAAAAUUUUUGACAUGAAGGAUAUGGGUGAGGCAUCUUAUGUCAUUGGCAUUAAGAUCCAUAGAGACAGAUUUAAAGGUAUCUUAGGUUUGUCUCAAGAAACCUAUAUCAAUAAAGUUUUAAAGAGAUUUCAGAUGAAGAAUUGUUCACCUAGUGUUUCUCCUAUAGUGAAGGGUGAUAGGUUCAAUCUGAACCAAUGCCCGAAAAACGAUCUUGAGAGGGAACAAAUGAAGAACAUUCCAUAUGCUUCUGCAGUCGGAAGUUUGAUGUAUGCUCAAGUCUGCACAAGGCCUGACAUUGCAUUUGCUGUUGGAAUGUUAGGACGAUAUCAGAGUAACCCAGGUAUAGACCACUGGAAAGCUGCAAAGAAAGUGAUGAGAUGUCUUCAAGGAACCAAAUAUUACAAGCUUAUGCACAGACGAACAAGCAAUUUAGAGGUAGUUGGCUACUCAGAUUCAGACUUUGCUGGCUGUGUUGAUUCACGUAAAUCAACAUUUGGAUACAUUUUUAUAUUGGCCGGUGGAGCUAUAUCUUGGAGGAGCGUUAAGCAGACCAUGACUGCUACUUCUACUAUGGAAGCUGAGUUCAUAUCUUGUUUUGAGGCUACUUCACAUGGUGUAUGGCUUAAGAGUUUCAUUUUCGGGCUUAGAGUUAUGGAUUCAAUAUCUAGGCCAUUGAGUAUAUAUUACGACAAUUCAGCUGCAGUCUUUAUGGCAAAGAACAAUAAAAGUGGAAGUCGAAGCAAGCACAUCGACAUUAAGUAUCUAGUCAUAAGAGAACGUGUUAAAGAAAAGAAAGUGGUUAUUGAGCACAUUAGCACUGAAUUGAUGAUCGUUGAUCCUUUGACUAAGGGCAUGCUACCAUUGAAAUUCAAGGAUCAUGUAGUGAACAUGGGACUUAGUUCCCUUAUGUAGUUUCUAUUGUACAAACUCUUAUUAUGAUGUUUUCUCAUAUUGAUGCGCACUUUUUAUUUAAUUUUGAGAAAAUUCAACUUCAUUGGACCAAGAAUGAACAUAGGGUUUAUUCAUUAAGUAAUAUUGCCACAUAAAGUAUAAUGUUAAGAAAUGAGUACACUGUAAUACAUGGAAGGUAACACUCGUUAAAUAGAGAACUUAUCGCCAUGAUUCAUGUAUUUGUUACUUAAUGGGACAAUUGAUGGACUAAAUUAGGACAUUAGGUUAAAGGUGUGGACCAAGUGGGAGAAUGUAAGCUGAAUACACGUUCACACGUUCUCACUUCAUAAUGUGGUCCAACACUUUGACCACGUCCUCCACCAUCUCACUUCCGCUGCGGUUAAGGAGCACGUUCCACCAACUGCUCAACAUGGUGGCAAGAGCAACGUGGUUUGAUGGAAGCCACUGUUACAAAGUUUUCAGAAAAUGGUCCCGAACUCACUCUGCUAUUAUCUUCAGAAACACCAUCUAAAAAAGAGAGAUUAGAGUUUGGAAACCAAAGGUUGAACCGAUUCCAACAGCUUGACUUUUACAGAUUGAAUUCAUGUUGUAAGUGUUCAUUGAAUUGUUUAUAUGCAUUAUGAACUGGUUACAGAACCCUCUCCCAGACUUAACUGGCGCACCUUUUAAGUGCGCCAAGGAAAAGAAAGAGUUGUGGCUCAACCCCAUCAAGGAUUGAUAGGCAUACUCUGUCCACUAAAGAUUAAAUGUGUUAGCACAUCUCUUAUCUCCCUCCAUGAACAAAUGGCGCAUUUAAUUAUACAUACACUGUAAGCAUUGGGCUGCCUAUCCGAUGGUGCAAUUCAAAAGCUGUGGCACGCUUGGUCAACGUAUGAGAAGCAUCCACUUGCAUCCAACAAUCUUGCAUGGGUGGGGCACACCCAACCUAAGUGUUCUCGAAGUUUGGAUGGUGUUGGAGCUGUUCUUUCCAAACUUCCAGCUUCUUCUUGUCUCACGUUCACCUGCAAUGCAAGGUUUACCCGGUGAAGCCCCGGGCAGACACCUCCGAUGGUUAAGU